AAAUAGUCAUACAUAGUUGGUUAGGCCUCCAGUCCAUUAACUUAAUAAUGAAUUUUAUGAAAAUUGAUUAUCUCAUUGGAAUUACAUAGAUAUUGGAAAACAUUACUCCAGCCCCACCAUCCCAACCAUUUACUUAGUUCAUCAGUAAAAGCUGGAUUUUCCAUUUGUUCUUGAGAUUCAAAUUAAGGCAGCAAGUUGCUCAUUCAAUAUUAUCUAUGUAAUCCUGUAAAAGUGAAGGGCGUUUAGAUGUGGAAAAACCUUACUCCUGCCGCAACACCUCAAACAGAUUGUGAUCAGACAAGACUUAGUUCAUCAUUAGCGGUAGUUGGAGCUUCCAUUUGUUCUAGAGAUUCAAAGGCAGCAAGCUGCUUCCUCAGUGCUACUAAUUCUUCCCCGGCAUUGCAUAUGUAGCCUGAGGCUUGUCUGCCAGACAAAGUUGCUCCUUCCAUACUAUCUAUGUAAUCCUGUGAGAGUGAAACCAUUUAGAAGACAUAUCUCUUUUUUUUUUUCAAUAUUUGGAAUGAAACAAUUAUAUACAGUUACCUGUUUUGUAUAUGAGCUGGCGAGGAAGAAGUUCUUCACUGGUAUCUUUUGAUCAGGUCUGAAGGGGUCUUUACCAGGUCCCUCACCUCACAAAGAUUGCCGGAUUUUGACGACAGAUAACCAAAUAACUUCUAAACCUUGGGAUGAUGGAAAUAGAGCUCAAACCUAAUAAAAGGAACCGUGAAUGGAUAGUAUGGACUCAUGUAUAUUAUCCAGAAAGUUGCAUGACCUUUUUUGGUACUCAGGUCACUAAAAAAUGUGAGAUAAACAUCUAGGAUAAGAAAAGCAAAAAAGCAUAACCUAAUACGUAUUAUAUGAAUUGAAGGUGUCACUGAACGCUACCAACCUGCUUUGCCACUCUCCUUCUGAUUUCAUCAUUUGGUAAGGGCAUAUAAGGAUCUCCAGGCGUCAAAAUGCAUCUGAAAUAUAAUAUGGCUAUAGUAAGUAACACAGAAUACAAAGACACUUAGCAAAAGGAAGUCAAUCAGAUUCCAUGCACAAAAAAUAACUAAUAAUGACGAGGAUAAGAAAUUUUUCUUGCUGGAGCAACGAACCUUGCCCUUCUCUGUAGUAGUCUUCUGGUGAAGUGAGUGCUAGAUCUGCAAAGCAAGAUAAAUCUGCAUCUGGAGUAUAUGAAAGGUUAUCUAACCCCACAGCUUGCCUCAAUUGUCUACAUGUUCAAAACAAGGAUCUGUUAAAAAAUGGAAAUUUCUUCAAUGCAUUAGUAAAGGGAAGUGAAGUGAAAGCUGAUUUCUUAGGCCUUCACAGAGCAUCAUGUGUUUGAAUUCCGGUAACCUCACAAAAAAUUAGAGCAUCACCUUGACCGUUCUAGGUCUUGCAACUCAGUAACCCAACCAUUGCAUCUAAGCUGCACUGUGACAACAGGAACUCCAACUAGCUCAUAAAUAUUGUUGAAAAUUUUCAUUUCCCUCCACGAUGAUGGAGGCAAACUUUUAAUUCCAGGGACAUCACAUGCAGCCAUUAAAUAAGAAGUUGAAUAAAGAAAAAUCGUUCAACUAAAUGAUUCAGGAGUUAAAAAAAAAAAUGUAGAAGUAGAAAUAAAUAACGAAGAUUUAACCAUAAACCUGCAACAUAUGCAUCAGCUUGCACAACCUUCUUGUCAGUGGCCUGAAAUAGAAUGAGAAAUUGAAAGACAGUAAGCAUUAAAGAAUAAACUCAAAGAAGCUGCUUCUAACAGAUGAUAUAAACAGUAAAUUUACAAAUGUCAGAUCAUUGCAUUAGCUCUAUGCCUCCAUCAGAGGGAAUAUUAAUAGAUGCAUAAAAAAAUAAUUAGAGCCACAUGUUAAACAAUUUACCUUAGAAGUAGCAAGUGCUUUGACAAAUUUUUCCCCGUUAGCAGAUUUAUCAUAAAGUAUCUCUCUGCAUCCCCACCUAAGAUGGAACCUGUUCUCACAAGAACAGAUCCCAAGGUUGGGAAAAUCAGUUCAUCAUAGGAGAAAACAAAGAAGAUUAACAAAUCACUACAAUGGUGUGAACCCGUAAAUACAAACGUACCUGCCCCCUUUAUCUGUGAUAUAUUUUCUUAUGGGCCCACUCAAAUAAACAUCCGGAGAACCCUUGAGCAUCAGCAAUAGGGAAGCCUCGGUCUUAGUCGCAAACAGUGCAAAUAUAGUGAGCAUACAACGAGCACUGAUGUUAUCACAAUCAAUAAACCCAAGGGCAUACGCAACAGGAUCCCACAUUCUUUGGAACCCUUGGACAAAAACCAAUCAGAGAAGCUUAUCUGUAAGAAGAAAUGAAGUUUUAGGUAAAAUGACAAUCUGUAAGAACAGGGAUUGAAAUUCAACAAACAAGAAAAUAUGAUGUCAUUCUUACACUAUCCAAAUCUCAUAUGUCCUUCAAGGCUCCAUCAGGAUCAACAAGUGCCUUUACAACAGCACUCAGAGCAAGAGCAAGAGCAUUUCUUGCUUUAUCAUAAGUCUGCACUUGAGCAAUUUAUGAGGCAAAGUACAUCAAAAGAGAAUCCAAAAGAGGCAAGAAGCUUCAACAUGAAAAAAGGAGUACUGCCUCAUCAUACUGCUUUGCAAUCACAGUGCAAAAGAUAACAUCAACAAAAUCAAAUUCUAGCAUAAAUCCAUAUGCACUACCUUAAGCUGAUUUGUAGACAAAAGACCCGUUUGGGGCAGCUGCGCGGUUGCAGCGCAGCUGUCCCAAACGGGUCCAAUCAGAAACCCAAAAUCAAGUUCUGGAGUUGAAAAUCAAAAUCAUGAACCAAAUCAGAGUUAUUAUUGAAUUAGACAAUCCAUAAACCAAUAGAAGGUAAAACAAAAAGGAAUAAAAAUUCUUCUAAAUUCUUUCACCAUCAACAAAAUCAGUAAAACACAUACUAAUUCAAAAUGACAUAAAGUUUGUGAAUUGAAAUAAUGCCAACUCCUAAGAAAAAUUAUGACUGCUGAUAUUUUUUCCGAAAUGCUGAUAAAAGCUUCUGCUAUUUACUUUGAAAAAAUAGAGGUUAGAAGCCAAUUUACUUGAAAUUUUGAGUUUAGGCAAGAGGAUGAAUGGCAAAAGUGAAACAAUUUAGGGAAAAAUGUACUUCAGAGGCCAAUGAAAGCAUUCAGAAGAUUGAAAUCUAAAUAAGCAAAACCCCGUGGCCUUGAUCCAACAAAUCCACUGCUGUUGACAUGCCUGCAAGCCCAGCUCCAAUAAUAGCCACUUUCAGCUUUGGUCCUCUAUAAUGUUCCGGUUCUGGUAGAAACAAACCCUUGGGAGCUGCCAAGUAUACCAUCCAAUUAUCCACAGCGAUAAUGGAAAUAUAUAUGUGUUUAAAGGUACUAAAUUCCUAAACAUGAAAUGUAUCCAAAGAGAGACACAAAGCAGAAUUGUGAAACCCAAUAAAUUUUAAGAAUACAAAAUACUCGGUCUGUUCCUCAAUUCCUUUAAUAAAAUUUCCACUAGAGGCUCCGGAAGCCACUCAAUAACACUCCAAAGCCAGAUUUUAAACGUUCUCUUUAUCUUUAACUACAAUCCACAAACAAUUCUGCCACAAAUUCAAUUCAAAAUUGUUCAAGUGCACCGCCACUUCUCCAUCAAUUCCCUCAAAAAUUCAUAAUUGGCAAACACUACAAACCAAAAAGAGCUUCCAGCAAUAAACGCAUAAAAAUCCACCAAGCAACAUAAAACAAAAUACCCAGAAACCAGAAAAGCCAAAAGAUCAAUGCUUGGCAAACAAGCCAAUCAAAUAAAACAAAAAGAAGAGAAAUUUACCAUUAACGCUCAUAUCAGAAACAUUAGUGUCCAAAGAAGCCCGUACACGGAAUCUUGGAUCCUUCACUUGAACCCGAGACCAUGUAACGCCAGUAACUGAAGUUGCAGGAAACAGAACUGAAGAACCCAUAUUGCAAAUCCUGAGCUGAAAUCAAAGAAAUUCAAUUGGAACUCAAUUCAGCUCAACCGAGCGGAGCUCUCUUUUGCUUCAAUAACAAAGUGUUUUUCUUUCAUAUCAACAAAGAUUUGUCAACAUCAACAAAAUUUAACUAAGAAACUAAAAAUAAUGCGGUAUCUUUGAGUUUAAGAAUCUAACAAAGAUUUGUCGACAUCAGGGAACUGUUUCGGAGAGGUUGGCCAAGUGCAUUUUUGUUUUUUUCUUGUUUUGCCCUUUUCAUUAAUGCACAACAUUAGUCCACGUGAAGAGCACAAAAUGCUGGUGGCUUUGUCACUAACGAUAAUGGAUGGAGUGUCCAAAGCAACCAACUAAAUUUUAAAGAGAGGGAAUGAUAAGUAAUAUCUUAAUGGGGUGAUUAAUUAAUUUAUUAUCAAGCAAUUGUAUUUAUUUAUUUAAAAGAUAUCCUUAUCUUUGUACAAGGUUUGAGGAAAGACGACGAUGUUGUGUUGUCACAUAUUUUUACGUUUCUCCAUAAUUCACUGCAACAUCAACUGGGCCACCACCUCUUGCCUCUCCCGGUUCCCCUCAAUUUUCUUAUUCAAUGUCCACCGUUGAUUGUACAUUUAUUGAAAUUCUGUGGUUAUUGUUUUUUUGCAUACAUUUAAUUCCACACGGUCUAUGAAUAGAGCAGGUGCAUCGUAGUUGUGGCCUUAACUGUUAUUGGUAACUCAAUAGCUAAUUCUAAUGUUUCAUCAAGCAGUUUAGAGAUAACCUCUCUCGCUGAACUCCCCGGAGUAACGCAAUCCAGUUUUCCAGUGCAAUCAUCAGACAGUUGAACAGCUUCUGAAUUCCCUUUGCUUUUCUUGUUUUCUUUUCCAUGUAAAGGGAGCUCAGGCUUCAAUAUAUCUGGGGAUUGAGUACUAAUGAUAAAGACAACAUACGAUAGAGGACACAAAUUGUUAUUAAAGAAUGACGCACUUUUCAACUGAGUACAGUAAAGCAAGAAUGGGUAAUUAGUUUUACCUGCAACGUGAAAAUCUAGACUCCCGACGGUAACCGAUCUUUGGUGAAGCAAAUAAAGAAGAAGGCGAAGUAAAAUUCACUGAGUUGAAUGAGCAAUCAUUACGUAUGGACUUGAUUUGUUCAAUGGGUGAAAGACUGCUGAUAUAAUUAAAGACUGGAGAAUCCUGCACGUUGACAAGCAUCAUUUUUAAUAUAACAUAGAGUCUUAAAAACCUAGUCAGUGGCAAAUGAUCACGACAAGCAAACUGAAGUACAAACAGCAGAGCUCAACAAAUCAUUAAGAGAAAAUAAGACCAUUAACCAAGCAGAUAAAAGAAACGCAAAAUAACCCAUCUCAAAUCACCGCAUGCACAAUUUAAGGGGGUUGUGACAUGGGUUUAAGCAUGAUUUAACAAGUGCCACCAGUGAAUUCUCAGAGAUUGAAUUUUCAUACACAUGCAAAUUUCCAAGUCCAACGAAUUGUUGUCUUUCUGAAGAUAUUAACGUUGCAUAGCAUGCUAUAAAUAAAUCAUAUUAUUAGGGCCUUUCUUUGCUGUACACAACAUAUGUACAGAGGAACAAAUCCAUGAGCUGAAAUCAUCAUAUUCCAAAAUAUUCUACCCAAUCAACACUACAAAACCCUAACGCUAAACAGAAUUGGAGCAAUGUACGAAAGCUAUUUGUCACACAAAGCACUGGUACCUCAGAACCCAAUUUUCAAAAAAGCAACAAAAAUGAAAAAUAGCAAGUGCCCAGAUGCAAAAUCAGGAAAAAAAUGCUCAAAUCCAAACUACAACCCCAUAAGCUGAGAUUGACCUCAAACUUGGAAACGGAAGCGACAGUGAUCUGUUUCUUGUCUGAAGUGUCCAUUUCUCUCGCUCCGCCACAAAGCCUCUUCACUCUGAAGCUGAAACUCACCACGCACUUGCAAAACGAAAGCAUUUGAUUGAUUGAGAGGCGGGAAGGCGGGAAAACGAGAGAAAUUUGCUUUUGUUUUUUCUUCGUUUGGUCAUACAUCUGCAGGCCCCAGGUUGACAAGCGUUAUUACUACUACUUGCAUUAUUUGAAGGACGCGUGUCAUGCAACGAUGAUGGAAAAAGUGGUGCAAAACUUCAAUGGUCACGAAAUGACGAUAAAACAAAAAUAUAUGGUUAAUUUUUCACUUAACAUUGGAAUAUCAUAUAAUUUUAUGGUCAUUUUCUCGCUGUUACGCCACAUUCUUUUGAUAAAAUAAUAUGGUUAAACUUUUCUAUAAUCAUGAUAUUAGAACCCAAUUAACUUUAUUUCUAUAAAGUGGUUAUAGCUUAAUAAAGGUAAAAUUGUAAAAAAUAUUAUUUUGACUUAAUUAUCUUUAGUGCAAGUGAUAUAAAAAAUAAAUAUAUGAUAAUUAAUUAAUAAAUUAUGUCAAAUAUAAUAUAUGGACAAUGAUAAAAAAGAUAGACAUAAUUUCAAAAAACUAAUAUAUAUGUUUUUGUAGUGCUGGGAUUAUACAAAGUUAUCUUAAAAGUGUAAAGAGUAAAGUAUUAGAUUGGAUUGAAUUAUAUAUAGUGCUGACUUAUGUUUGGUAUGAUAUUGUAUUAGAUUAUGUUAAAUUAAAUUUACAUGAAAUUAAAUAGUAUUUACAUUAAUAUUUGAAUUUAAAUAUCAACUAUUUAUAGAUAUUUAACAAUAAAUAUUAUAAUUAAUUAAAAACAGCACUAAUAAGGGGUGUGUGUGUGUGUGUGUAUUCAUUUAGUUAUUGGGUAGUCAUAAUUAUAAUAAAGAAAUAUAAACUAUUUAAAUUAUAGGUUAUUUCAAAGAGUAAUGAGAGAUAUCAUUUCAUUAAAUAAAAUAAAUAAAACUAUUCAAAUAAUAAAUUAAUUAAUAAAUUUUAAGUAAAUCAUGAAUAAAAAAGAAAUUACUUAAUUAAAAACAAUAAAUAAAUAAAUAAUUUUUAAGUUAUAAAUAAAAUUGUGUAAUAAAUUAUGGAAGAUAUUAUAAAUACACAAAUAUUUUUUUCACAUUAUCUAGUCCCAACUAAACCCACAUAAAAAUUAGAAUUAGCAAUCCCAUGAAUUUAGGAUUAAAAUUUGAAUUUAGUCCAUUAAUCCAAUCCAAGUGAGCAUGCCAAACAUAGUAUUAAUAUUUUAUCCCAAUAAUAAGUCCAAUCCUACACUAAAUCCUACCUCCCAAACAUAACCUUAAGAAUCUAUUGACAUGUGUCAUUAAUGAAAUUAAAUGGCUAAAAUUUUGUUUUAAUUAAUUUUUACCUAAAUAGACAUCAAAACUCAUGUGUGACUCUUGUUAAUCUUUUUCUUACAAUUUCUUUUCCUCUUAAUUCUUUAUAUUUUGACACCGAUUUCUAGCAAAUUAUUAAAAAAAAGAAAAGGAGCACAAAUUGGAGAAAAGUGAUUGACAACAAGGUUUGCAUCUUAAUUUCAAAAUUUUCCUUUCUUUGUUGUUGUUUUUUUUUUUUUUGGGUUCUAUAAUUGUUGUUUUCACUCUCACUUACAAUUCAAUGAACUAAAUUAGUAUUGCUACUUAUAAACUGCUAUUACCGGGCAUAUAAUUUUAUUGCUACAAUUUUACUGCUGUUUAGCUAUUUUUCUGAGUUUUUAGUUGUUGUUCUAUUGUCUCUUUGGGGUUUGCAACUGAUGUUUGCUGUUUUUCUAUGAAACAAUUAAAUUCUUUUGCUGCUACAUUUUUUGUUGUUCUAUUAUGGCCGGGACGUAUGUGAAAGGGAAAGAAUCUACCCAAAAAAAAAAAUGACAAAGAGUCACAUGUGAGUUUAGAUGUAUUUUUAAGUAAAAAUUAAUUAAAACAAAAUCUUGGCCCAUUAAAUAACUUAAUAUAAUCAAUUUGUUCUUAAUAACUUAAUAUUAUUUAAUCUAUAGAAGCAAGAUCCUCGAAGACAAAACCUAUAAAUAAUUUAAUAUAAUGAAUUGAUUCUUAAUCUACUCCAAAUUGAGACUACAAUUUUUUACUUAAAAAUUGGCUAGCUAACUUUACCUUGAUGGGCUGACUAUCGCCCAUACAUAUUUCUUCAAAUUUAUUAAUAUUUUUGUGCAUAGCAAUUAGGGUUACGUGACAACGAAUUCUCCUUUUAGUAUAUAAAAAGUAUACUCACAAGUAGUGUAGUGUUCCCCUCCUAAAGGGCAUAGCUCACUGACUUUUAGUCUCUUUCUUCAGUUGACGACUCCAGUUAGACUCUUCAAUGAGAUUAAAGAUUGAAUAUAUCAAAAAUAUUAGCAAUAUUUGUGCUUAUAUUUAACAAAACUAGAGUAAUAUAUUGAUUAAUCUACAUAAUUUUAGGCGGGUUCUUAGGUAAUGUUACAAUUACAUAGAUUAUUUUCACAGUAUAAGCCAAAUCUUAAGAAUUAAUUACUUGAAUAAAAGGAAUAAAGGAUGAUCGAUAAAAGUAAAACAAAGAAAAUAAAUUAUGCCGUUAAAUUGGGAUAUUUGGCUGCCUUAAUCGCUAGAGAUGCUUCUCCAAAACCCGCGUGUAAACAAAACACAUAUUUUUAACAUAACAAUAGCCCAAGCACAUAAACAAGAGUGAAAGCCGAGGAAUCAAUUUCAUUACUGUUCACUAGUAUUUUCAAUUUCAUUAUUUCAUUAACUGUCAUUGAUAAAAAAAAAAAAAAAAACUCAAUUUGAGAUGUUAUACAUUACUUUUCAUUACUUCCCAUUUCAAACAUAUUUAUCAUAUAUAGUCUUAGUAGCUUGUAACCCUUUCUGGUAAGGGUAAAAUAUUUCUUACCCCUUUGAUUUCUGAGAUUGUCCUCACAAUAAUGAUGCUGGCCCCAAUUUCUAAAACUACUAUCUCUAUGAGUAAAUUCCUUAUAAAUUUUCUUUUAAUUGAAAAUAUUUAAACAAUUGAAGAUAAAUUAAUUUAUUUUUUUAUUCGAAUGAAAAUUCAAUUAAACACUUAAAUAAGCUAUUCCUUUAACAAUUCUUUUCACACCCAUCAUGUUUCGUAAUUUAUAUUUAUAUUUAUAUUUUAAAAUUUAAUUGAAAAUACUUUUUGAGAAACUUUUAAGAAUUAAGAAUCAUGGAGAAAAAAAUGAUUUAAUAUGAAGAAAAUAGUUUAAAAUCUUAAGAUUUGUAUGUUUUAUAAAUAAAAACUUGAAAAAAUACUCUUUCCGAGAAAAGAUUUAAUCAGAAAAUGAUUAAUUUUUAAUUUAUGAAUUAAUAUUUUAUAAAUUAAACUAGGGGUAUUUUAAGGAAUAUAAUUAAAAAAGAGUGUCAUAAGGAUAUUUAGGGGUGUUAGAAGCCAUACUCAUUUACAUAAGCCAUGGGAGUUAGGGUAUUGGGUUUCUUUUUGUUUUGUAUGAAUUGGGAAAAAUACAGAGACAGACAAAGGGAACAGUCAUUACAAAGCUGUGAAGCGUGUGGGAGAUACCCAUUUGUAGCUUAAACUCCUAGGGUAUUGUUUCUGUCUUUCUCUUUCUCACUUUCUCAUGCAGCAGAUGUACAUAUCAUGAAAUAGCCAUACAUAGUUGGUUAGGCCUCCAGUCCAUUAACUUAAUAAUGAAUUUUAUGAAAAUUGAUUAUCUCAUUGGAAUUACAUGGAUAUUGGAAAGCAUUACUCCAGCCCCACCAUCCCAACAAUUUACUAAGUUCAUCAGUAAAAGCUGGAUUUUCCAUUUGUUCUUGAGAUUCAAAUUAAGGCAGCAGAUUGCUCAUCCCAUACUAUCCAUGUAAUCUUGUAAAAGUGAAGGGCGUUUAGAUGUGGAAAAACCUUACUCCUGCCGCAACGCCUCAAACAGAUUGUGAUCAGACAAGACUUAGGUCAUCAUUAGUAGUAGUUGGAACUUCCAUUUGUUCUUGAGAUUCAAAGGCAGCAAGCUGCUUCCUCAGUGCUACUAAUUCUUCCCUGGCAUUGCAUAUGUACGCUGAGGCUUGUCUACCAGACAAACUUGCUCCUUCCAUGAUAUCUAUGUAAUCCUGUGAGAGUGAAACCAUUUAGGACACAUAUCUCUUUUUUUCUAUUGAUCGUGACAUAUUUGGAAUGAAACAAUUAUAAACAGUGACCUGUUUUGUAUAUGAGCCAGCAAGGAACAAGUUCUUCACUUGUGUCUUUUGAUCAGGUCUGAAGGGGUCUUUACCAGGUCCCUCAUGGUACAAAGACUGCCCGAUUUUGACAACAGAUGACCAAAUAACUUCUAAACCUUGGGACAAUGGAAAUAGAGCUAAAACCUGAUAAAAGGAACCGUGAAUGGAUAAUAUGAACAGAUGUAUAUCAUCCAGAAAGUUGCAUGACCUUUUGCAGGGCUCAAAGUCACUAAAAAAUGUGAGAUAUACAUCUAGGAUAAGAAAAACGAAAAAGCGUAACCUAAUAUGUAUUAUAUGAAUUGAAGGUGUCACUGAACACUACCAACCUGCUUUGCCACUCUCCUAAUGAUUUCAUCAUUUGGUAAGGGCAUGUAAGGAUCGCCGGGCGUUAAAACGCAUCUGAAAGAUAAUUCAGUUAUAGUAAGCAACACAGAAUACAAAGACACUUGGCAAAAGGAAGUCAACCAGAUUCCAUGACACAAAAUGAAACUAAUAAUGGCGAAACUUCUCUGUAGUAGUCUUCUGGUGAAGUGAGUGCCAGAUCUGCAAAGCAAGAGAAAUCAGCAUGUGGAGUAUACAAAAGAUCAUCUAAUCCCAGAGCUUGCCUCAAUUGCCUACAUGUUCAAAACAAGGAUCCGUUAAAAAAUGGAAAUUUGUUCAAUGCAUUAGCAAAGGGAAGUGAAGUGAAAGCUGAUUUCUUAGGCCUUUAAAGAGCUUCUUUUGAUUGAAUUCCUGUAACCUCACAAAAGAUUAGAGCAUCACCUUGACCGUUCUAGGUCUUGCAACUCAGUAACCCAACCAUUGUAUCUAAGCUGCACUGUCACAACAGGCACUCCAACUAGCUCAUAAAUAUUGUUGAAAAACUUCAUUUCCCUCCACGAUGAUGGAAGUAAUCGUUUAAUUCCAGGGACAUCACAUGCUGCCAUUAAAUAGGAAGUUGAAUAAAGGUAAAACAUUCACCUAAAUGAUUCAGGAGAACAAAAAAGCACAAGUAGGAAUAAAUAAGGAGGAUUUAACCACAAACCUGUAACAUAUGCUUCAGCUUGCACAACCUUCUUGUCAGUGGCCUGAAACAGAACCAGAACCUCUAAGACCAUAAGCAUUAAAUAAUAAACGCAAAGUAGCUGCUUCUAACAGAUGAUAUAAACAACUGAUUUACAAAUGUCUGGUCAUUGCAUUACCUCCAUCAGAGGGAUUAUCAAUAGACGAGUAAAAAAAUAAAUAACUAAACUAGCUUUUGCCGCCUAAUUAGAACCAUGUGAGAAACAAUUACCUUAGACAUGGCAAGUCCUUUGACAUAUGUUUCUCCAUUAGCAGAUUUAUCAUAAAGUAUCUCUCUGCAUCCCCACCUAAGAUGGAACCUGUUCUAGCAAAAACAGACCCCAAGGUUAGGAAAAUCAGUAGGAGAAAACAAACAAGAUUAACAAAUCACUGCAAUGAUGUGAACCUGUAAAUAGAAAUUUACCUGCCCCCUUUAUCUGUGAUAUGUUUUCGUAUGGGCGCACUCAAAUAAGCGUCUGGAGAACCCUUGAGCAUCCGCAAUAGGGCAUAAGCAACAGGAUCCCACAUUCUCUGAAUACUCGUCCGUGUCCCACCUUUGGACAAAAACCAAUCAGAGAAGCUUAUCUGUAAGAAGAAAUGAAGUUUUAGGUAAGAUAACAAUUUGUAGGAACAAGGAUUGAUAUUAAAACAAACUAGAAAAUAAGAUGUCAUUCUUACACUAUCCAAAUCUCCUACGUCCUUCAAGGCUCCAUCAGGAUCAACGAGUGCCCUUACAACAGGACUCAGAGCAAGAGCAAGAGCAUUUCUUGCUUUAUCGUAAGUCUGCACUUGAGCAAUACAUGAGGCAAAGUACAUCAAAAAAGAAUCCAAAAGAGGCAAGAAGCUUCAACAUGAAAGAAGAAAUACUGUCUUAUCAUACCGCUAACUAAUCAGAGUGCAAAAGAUUACAUCAACAUAAUCAAAAUGGAACAUAAAUCCAUAUGCACUACCUUAAGCUAAUUUGUAGACAAAAAUGCGCGAAUCCCAUGUAAGGGAGCUCCGACUGGAAACCGGAAAUCAUGUUCUGGAGUUAAAAAUCAAAAUCAUGAACUUAAUCAGAGUUAUUAUUGGACUAGACAAUCCACAAACCAAUUUCAGAGUGUCCAACCACCAAACAUAACUAUCAGUAGUCUUAAGUGAUCAAGAAAUAACCAUACCACCAAUUUCACCACCCUUAUUCACAAAUGUAUGAGUAUGAUCCUUCAUGAGUAAAUUUUUUUGUGUCCGCACUGACCUGUAGACAUCCAUGAAAAACUAUCAGAUUAUAAACACAGGGUCAAUUUAAAGAGGAGCUAUGAUUCUGAUCCAUCAUGAUAUUUGAAGAACAUUUUCAUAUUUUCCUACAACGAGUAAACUAUAACCAGUUAUCAUCACUAUAGAUGGCAUGGUCAAGAGAAAUUAUAGUUCUUGUUUCAAGAAUCUCAAAUCAUAAUUCCUUUGCAUGGCUAGUGUGCUUUUAUAAUCAUUCAAACACACUUAUCCACAACUAAGCAAGCUUUACCUUUUUCAUCAAUCGGAACAGAUUAUUGUAGCAUCCAAAGAAAAUGUGCAGGCCCAUUUCAAUAUGGUUUCCAUGUUUAUCAAUAAAUGAACCCACUUUACCACCAAUGAAAGACCUUGACUCAUAUAUAUCCACCUGGAAGGGGGGGGAAUCUUCUAAUUUCUUUCACCAUCAACAAAAUCAGUAAAACACAUACUAAUUCAAAAUGAAAUAAACUUUGUGAAUUGAAAUAAUGCCUGCUCUAAAGAAAAUGAUAACUGCUAUUCAUUUUUCCGAACUGCUGAUAAAAGCUUCUGCUAUUUACUUUGAAAAAAUUGAGUAACUUCAAAUUUUCAGUUUAGGCAAGAGGAUGAAUGGUAAAAGUGAGACAUUUUAGGGGAAAAGAAAAUACUUGAGAGGCCAAUGAAACAUUGAAAGAUUGAAAUCUAAAUGAGCAAAACCUCAUGGCCUUGAUCCAACAAUUCCCCUGCUGUUGACAUGCCUGCAAGCCCAGCUCCAAUAAUAGCCACUUUCAGCUUUGGUCCUCUAUAAUGUGCCGGUUCUGGUGGAAACAAACACUUGGGAGCUGCCAAGUAUACCAUUCAAUUAUCCACAGGGAUAUUGGAAAAACAUACAUGUUUGAAAGUACUAAACAUCAAAUGUCUCCCGAAAAAAAUACAAAGCACAAUUGCAUAAGCAUUUCAUUUCCCAAUAAAUUUCAAGAAUACAAAAUACUUGGUCUGUUCUUGAGUUCCUUCAAGAAAAUUUCCACUAGAGAGCACGCAAGCCACUCAAUAACACUCCAAAGUCAGAUUUUAAACGUUAUCUUGAUCUAUAAGUACAAUCCAUGAACCAUUCUGCCACAAAUUCAAUUAAAAAUUAUUCAAGUAAAAUGCCAAAUUCUCCAUCAAUAGCCUCAAAAAUUCAUAACUAGCAAACACUACAGAACAAAAAGAGCUCCCAGCAAUAAACACAUAAAAAUCCCACCAAGCAACAUAAAUCAAAAUACCCAGAAACCAGAAAACCCAAAAGAUCAAUACUUGGUAAACAAACAAAUCAAAUCAAAUAAAACAAAAAGAAGAGAAAUUUACCAUUAACACUCAUAUCAGAAACGUAAGUAUCCAAAGAAGCCCGUACACAGAAUCUUGGAACCUUCACUUGAACCCGAGACCAACAAACACCAGUAACUGAAGUUGCAGGAAAAAGAAGUGAAGAACCCAUAUUGAAAUAAAAGAAUCCAAACCCAAAGUCCCACAUCUAAAUAUGAUGGAUCCACUCCAUGCGGCAAUAUGAAAUUUAAGCUCUCUUUUCUUAUGUCACCCAAGGCAUUGGCAGGAUGGCCAAACACCUGAGUUCAAGUCUACAAUAGAGAAUCGAAAUUUUCCUUUGUAAAUGUUCAUAAGUAUUUACCACAGAUAUUCAAGUUAUUCUUGAUAGAUCCCCUACUAUAUAUGCUAUAAUAUUUCUCUUCUUUUAAUUUAAAAGUAAAUCAUUCAUAAUAUCGGACUUGUAAAGAAAUAAAAUUUUCGGUAAUUAACUGACAAAACAAAAAAAGAUGGAUUAUGCGAAAGAAGUUAAUAUGGAGUAAGUCGAGCACUUGACAAUCAAAGUAAUUUACUCGAGGUUGAGUAAGGAUAGUACGAUACUUUCUCAAGUUUUCUGAGGACAUUCACGUGACAUUGGACUAUUGAUUAUAGUUAGAGAGAAGUCCAAGGAUGUAAGUGAUGAUGAUAGAUUCACAAUUCUUUUGAAGAAAAUAUUUUAUAUAAACUUAAUUAUAUGGUAUAAAAUGAUUGGCCUUAAUAAAAUUAAAAAAUAAUACACGCCUGGGUCAUGUAAUAUUUUCAACCAACUAAUUUACAUGCAAAAUUAAACUUUAUGAGUACAUUUAUUUGCUAGCAGAAACUCUGCCAAAUUUUCCGAAAUGUGAAAGUGAACACUUUUAACAACGUCACAAAAUGCAUGUGAUAAUGAAACAAUGUGCCAUCCUUAAACUAAUAUUAUUAGAAACUAUAAGUGAAAGUUUUCAGAAAACAUAUGAUAAAUUUUUCUCGGAAUUUGUUUUCUCCUUUGUUUUGAUUUAUGUGAGAGAUAGUUGUAAAGCGUAAAAUUUUAAAAUCCGUAACAAAACAAAAACUUACAUGGGUUGGGCGCACCAUGUGCAUACCAAAUUAGAAUAAUUGACGAAUCGUAAUAAAAAAUUUAUAUAUAAUAAUUGAAUGAGAUCCAUGGUUCACAAUUGCAAAUUAAAGGUUGGUUUUAUAAUAAAAAUCUUUUUUUGCAUACCAAGUUAGAAAAGAUUAUAAGUAAAUUAAGAUUUUCAAAAUUUGACUAGUAUUAUAUUACGUACGUCAAUAUAAUAUAAAUUUGUUAUAUAUAUAUAUAUUUUACUCUGCAACCAAUGCUUUCAAAAACUUUUUACUUGUAUGUUUGAACAACUUUUAUCGCUUUCUAUUUAUAUACGAUCUCAUUUAUGUUUACAUAAAUUUUCAUAUGUACCCAAAUUAAGCAUUAAAUACACACACUUUGGUAAGACACAUUUCUAGUAUCAGACAAUGAUAUUAUAUUGAAUGUAAUGCUUCAAUGAAUUUUAUUACUAUAUACUAAAAUACUCAACGAUAUUCAUUAAAAAAAAAAAAGAAAUUGCAUGAUUAGAAUGAUUAAAGUUCAUUUAAUGACGAGUUUCAUCAUUGACUGUGUCGAAACACAACAGCAAUCCACAAUACACUCAACACGAGAGGCGCACACAAGCAUGCAUGAAUCUUCCACCAUUAAACCUGAAAUCAUAAAAUGAAAGAAACAAGGUGAGUGUUGUUUUACGGUCUGAAAGCCGAUUCGAAAUAAUAAUAAUAAUAGACCUUUGUUAAUAGUUACUACUAGUGGUCACUGCCUUGUCCAUCUUCCUUCUCUGUAUCAUCGUCCACUUCCAAGCCGCUGUCAUCUGACCAAACCCCAGCAACCAUCGCGGGAAAAAUCACCUAUUUGGAGUGAGAGGGAAAAAGCUGAUUGUUGAGAAAUAUAUGUAUCUUUUGUAUGGUUGUGUUAAGGUCACCCAUGCAAGCAGAACGUGCUUCAGUCCCCCAUGCUUUACUCCCCCACUGCACUUCGUGUAAUUUGGGUGUACUUAAAUUUCCUUCAGAGAAAAUCUUCAUAUCGAGGCAAUCACCCACCACUAAUCUUUCCAAAGAUGGGAACUUGAAAGCACAAUUGCCAGAGCAGAAGCUUGUCAAACUUUUUAAGUCUAAAAGCUUCAACUCCUUCAAUUCUCUGAAAGUAAUAACCUCAUCUUUUGCUACAACAUCAUCCACCAGUACUAUUUCUGUUAUCUUAUCGCAUGAUUCUAUCUCCAUAUAUCUAAGUCGCACCAGAGUCUUUGCAAUUGAGGAUGUUAAUACGAUUUUCAAUCCUUUGCAACACGAUACCACCAGAUUUGUAAGAUUCUGAAAGGACGUCGACGAUGGCACUAGAUUGACCAAACGGUCACACCCCUUUACACGUAGAAAAACCAAGUUGUUCGUAACAGAGGACUCCUCUAUCAAAAUGUGCUCCAGUUGAUAUUUUGCUUCUCUUAUUUCUACCCUCAUCCCAUUUUCAACCUGCUCUUUCGGCAACCAAGCACCAUGUCCUCCUAUUUCGAGGACUUUCAUUGUGUGAAGUCUCUGGAGGAAGUCACCAAGUGAUAAAAUUGUCCGCUCAUCAACCAACUCCACGUAAAGAUAUUUUAGUUUGCAAAGCAAGUCUUCAGAAAAUAGAUAUUUAUUUGUUACCACGUGCUUUGCAUCAACUUUCAACUUUUCCAAAUUAGGGAAUACCUGGGAGAUUGAUCAGAGCCCAAAAAAAAAAAAAAAAAAAAAAAAAAUACAAGAUGAAUCAGUUGAUGAGAAUUAUAAGUUACCACUAAUUUAUACCAUAUAUUUUAUUCAAUAAAUCUUUACCUUUAAAAAAAAUAGUAAUAAUAAUACGCCUAGCUAACAUCUAGAAUAAUUAUGAAUGAAUACUAUACACUAAUCUAUAAGAGAGUUCCGUUGCUGACAAUUUGACUUUUAGUAAGAAACCAAGCGAUAAAGGCAAAGGCAAUAUAACUCUUAAGCUUUAUGAUAUAAACUUUCACAGUACAUACAUAAGAAUUGAAAAUUUGAUUAUAAAAUUCUUGUACGUACCCUUUCCGUCAAGAUAUUAGUAGUUCUUUUGCAUCUCGCCAUGAAUUCAGGACAUCCAGAUAUCUCUAAUUCUUUCAAGGAUGGAAAUUCAAGAUUAUCAAGAUCUCCAGUACAGAAGCUUGUGAACUUUUCAAGAUCAGACAUCCUCAGAUAUUGCAACUGAGGAAACGUUACAAUAUUAUUCUUCAUUUCUUCCUGGUUGUCCACGACUAUUAACUCUUCCAAGACGCGACAUCUGACUAUCUGAAUGCGUUGGAGUCGAACCAAGCUACUAACAGUAGCAGAUGAAAAUAGACAACUUAAAUUCUCACAGACAGACAAGGUCAAGUGCGUUAAAUUCUGAAUACCACAAGACAUGACUGUAACUUGGCUCGGCCAAAUCCUCUCAACAUUUAUUGAAUCCAACGUCAACUUCUCUAACUCUGGUAACCGAUCCUGCUCGAUCAAAAAAUUAACUUGUUAAUUGCAAGUAAACGAUCAUUGAUUAUAAAAUUCUUGUACGUACCCUUUCCGUCAAGAUAUUAGUAGUUCUUUUGUAUCUCGCCAUGAAUUCAGCACAUCCAGAUAUCACUAAUUCUUUCAAGGAUGGAAAUUCAAGAAUAUCAAGAUCUCCAGUGCAGAAGCUUGUGAACUUUUCAAGAUCAGCCAUCAUCAGAUAUCGCAACUGAGGAAACAUUACAAUAUUAUUCUUCAUUUCUUCUUCGUUGUCCACGACUAUUAACUCUUCCAAGACAGGACAUUCGACUAUCUUAAUGUGUUGGAGUCGAACCAAGCUACUAACAGUAGAAGAUGAAAAUAGACAUCUUAAAUUCUCACAGACACACAAGGUCAAGUGUGUUAAAUUCUGAAUACCACAAGACAUGACUGUAACUUGGUUUUGCCAAAUCCUCUCAACAUUUAUUGACUCCAACGUCAACUCCUCUAACUCUGGUAACCGAACCUGCUCGAUCAAAAAAUUAACUCAUUAAUUACAAGCAACAAUGAUUUCUGUUGAUGGACAAAUCAAUAAAAUUACUCUUUCUCUGGUUAUAGUUCUUUUCAGUUUUUCAUACAAACAACCGUUAAUCAAGUUUUCCAAAUUAUUCCUUACUAAAUGUAUAGAUUUAGACGGCGGCUAAUAUAGUUCAUAUUGUAAAUAUUCUUUGAUUGUAACGAAUUUUGUAAUAUUAAAUUUUGGUUGAUUCGCAAUAGGACCUACUAUCCAGCGCGAGCAGUUCUCGGGGAUUUAACUACUGGCACCUCGAUUAUAUAAAAAUUUAGAAUAUUUUCAAAGGAAAUCAAAUAAUUCCCCCUUGCAAAUAGUAAUUAUCAUCAAUUGCCGGGGGUUCACAUAUAAUUCUAAGAAAUUAGGCGAGAAGAGUCUCAUCAACAAUCAAUCAGCAAAUAUCACGUUUGGCAGAUCAUCAUGAUUUCCUCAGAUGCUAGAGAAUCAACGUGAUUUCUGCUCAUGCAGGAGUGGACACAUUAUCUUAGAGCAUCCCUCACUGAGAUCUUUUAAAAAAUUUAUAUUAUAAAGUGAACAACAUAUUUAGUAUAGAUUUAGACGGCGGCUAAUAUAAUUUAUAUGUAUUCUAAUGACGUAUAUUAAAGAAAAUGACUAACCAUAAUUUCAAUCAACUUAUUAGUCUAUAUAUAUAUAUAUAUAUAUAUAUAUAUAUAUAUAUAUAAAAGUGACUACAACAUAUUUAGUAUUCCAUGACAUGAUGUUUAUAAUAAUAAUUAUUAUUAAUUCACUUUUUGUGUCAAGAACCUUUUCUUUCUCUAAGAAUGAAUUUCUUACACCCUACUAUACUACGGAUGAAAAAUUUAGAAUCAUUGUGAAAUAUGAUUAUUAAUCACUCUUUGCCAUAUUUGCUACCAAACAAGAAUGCAACAAAGAAAAAAAAAAUUAUAGAGAAUUAAUAAGACCAUUGACUUAUCAAUAACUGACCUUCUCAGCGAAAAGUGUAUUAGAAAUUUGGACAUUGUCCUCCAAAAUGAUUUCAUGUGACCGCAAAUCAUUAGCUGAUUCCUCCUGUCUCUGCUAACAUUGCAGGUGUAUUGAUUUUAGAGUGUAAGCUUAAUUGUGAGCACAACCUUAAUGCAUAGAUACAAGAUCUUUAAAAAUUAGUACAAUAAACUUAGCACUAAAUCUGAAUUUGAUAUUUUGGAUUCCAUGAUUAAGAUUUUUUUAAAAUGAAAAUUUAAUAGAGUUAAUUUAAAAAUAAAAAUUAAAUAUGAAAAAUUAGAGUUGCAAUUAUGGAUUUAAUUUUGAUAAAUAAUGAAUGUUCUCUUAAUAUUUUUUUUUUAAAGGUAAAAGAGCGUACAAAGCCCAAAUUCAUUUUUUUAGUCCCUUACUCUCCCAUAAUUCAAACUUGGGUGGUUGUAGGAGGACUGAAAAUAUAUAAGACAGUUAACUUCACUUUUUUUUUUUUCUUUUUUUUUUUUGAGAGAAAAGAGAAGAAGGAUAUUACAAAGCAUGAAGCUCGUGCAAUAUAAGGGCAAUGAUGGUUUUUUCUUUAAAUUAAAAUAGUAAGAUUUUGAAGCUAAAAGAUUAAAAUAUUAAUUAAAUUGCAAACAUUAAAGAUUUUUUUUUUUCAAAUGGUUGCUUUGAAAAUGAGAAUAAUAUAAUAUUUGAAGACUUUUCAAAAUUAAUUACUGUGAUAGAUGCACUAGAAGUUUCUAGCUCUAGUCUAAUGUAUAAAUUGACAAAACGAUAUUAGAAUCCCAGGUGAAAAGAACCCUCUCACACCAAUUAUUUAAAUUAGGAAUGAUCAUACCUCUGACUCUGCCGAACUGAGGGCGGGGUCUAAACCCACCAUAAAGAGACGCUUGAGAUGGGAAGAGCCCACUUUGACUAAUUCAUUACGAAAAUAAUCGACAUCUUGCUCUUGCAAUCCCCAUAACUCAAGGUCUUCAAUUCUCUGCAGUUGCACGAUCAGCGAAUCCUUCAAGCAAAUCUUGUUAUUUAGCUCGACUCUGAAUUCACGACACGGAAUGCUGGUGAUCCCCCAAUACUCAAGAUCUCCAAUGCGUAUGCUGUACCUUUCCAGCUUCUCCAAGAACAGGCCUCUGGGCAGAGUGCUGACGUCAUGGGUGUCUAAUUCCAAAGAGGUCAAGUUGGGCAAAUGCUUCAACUCCUCAAGGCUUGCAUUCUUAACCCCUUCCACCUCCACCUCCCAAGCAGCAAAGCUUCUAUGACUUAUAUAUAGUUCUUCUAAAUGGGAUAAUUUUGACAGUAUAUUUGGUGGAAUAACUUUUAGACACCAACAAUCCCUCAAAUCAAGCAACUUUAGCCAAGUCAAUUCACCUACUUCUACCGGCAACUUCUCAAUAUAAGAACUUCUUAAGCAAAGGAUUUCUAGUUUCUUCAAGUCUCCUACAACACUUAUAUCACGCAAGCUGCAGUCACACAAACUCAGUGUUCGAAGGUUUGACAGGAGACCAAGUGAUGAAGGCAGUGACCGUAGAUUCAUGCCAGUCAAGUUGACAACUCUGACCUGCAUCAUCCUCUCGAAAAAGUUGUUUGGAAUUGUUAAUGAUGAAAAUUCCCAACGAUCAGCACGUAUAAAAAGAAGUUCGAGCUGAGGACAUUCCAGUACUUCAGGAAGCAAAUUAUUCUUGAUAUGAUGUAAGACGAUUGAAGUGCAAUGCUUUAUUGCACUUCCGUCUAACCAUUCCCUGCAACCAUCAACCUGCUCAUUUGUAGCAGUAAACACAUUUCGUUCAGUAGAUGCAAUUAAUAUGGCGACAUCGCGAACUACAUCAUGCAUAGAAAGCAACUCUUUCUUCUGGCUUAUAUGGUCAAGCAACAAACAAGAAUCUUUGAGCUGGUGUACCAAUGUAUGUACUCGAUUUCGUGCUGCUUCCAUCUUAUUCACACCUUGAAAUAAAGUCAAUCCCAUACCAAACAUUAACAGUUCGUCAAUAGAUGCUAUGGCUGUAUAUCCUAUUAGCAAAAAGAUGUUCUUCAGCUCCUCCCCUACCAAUUUGUCGUAACUCCACUUUAUGGCUUCAUAUGCAUCUGGCUGUACAUCCUUAAAAUUCGAUGAAGAAGGCCUUCCUAGUUUUUCCAAUGCAUCCUUCCAUUCCUGUAUGCUCUUGUUCCUUAAUGCCCUUGCAACCGUCACAAUGGAAAGUGGUAGACCUGCACAUCCCUUUGCCACACCCCUUGCUACCGAUUGGAAUUCACUGCCUUCAAAAUAAUCACCUGCCAUCUUCUUGAAUAGAUUCCAAGCUUCUUCUUCGUUUAAAACACCAAUUGAGAAAUUUGGUCGAGAAUCCAUCUUCCUAGACAAUACAUCUAGACUUCUGGCCGUCAGCAAUACUUUACAACCUUUAUGACCAUCUCCAUGAGGAAUUCCGACAACCCGCAAAUCAAGAUUUUCCCAAAUGUUGUCUAAAAUUAUCAGGAUCUUCUUCUCUGCUUCUAUACGUUUAAAUAAGCUGUUUGCCCUUCCUGAUUCACUUUCCUCAUGAAACUUCAGGCCUAAUUUAUCUGCUAUUUCUCCUUGAAUCUCUCGUAUGUUUUUAUUAUGGGAUACCUCAUCUCCUUGAAUCUUUCGUAUGUUUUGAUUACGGGAUACCUCAACAAGAACUACCUGAUAAAAGAGUUCACUCUUGACUUUCCUAGCAACUUCUUCCGCCAGCUUCGUCUUUCCGAUUCCGCCCAUUCCAUAAAUCCCAAGCAUGUUGACAUUGGGAUUUUUUAAUGCAUCCAUUAUGUCAUUCAGAAUGGGCGCUCUUGAUACAAAGGCCUCGUAGUCUUUGUUAGGGAUAAGCCGAAUAUCCUCUGCAGCAGUACGGUAGGAAAUUCUAUCAAAUCUUCUAGCGUCCCGGACUUUGACAAUAGCCUCUUUCAACGUCACUGCUUCCUUGCUAAGUCGACGGCGGGUCUUCAAAUUAGGACACAACCCCUUGAAACAACGCUUAUUUGCUGCGGCUUCAACUUCUGUAAAUUUAUCUGCCUCUUCAAUGACUUUGUUGGCCCCUUCAAGCCAACUCCUAACGUUCUCUUCAAUUUCUUCCCCGUUUCGUUCAGCCUCAUCAACCUGGUGCUUUGUACUCACCCUCUGAGACUUCAGAUUGUCAACUUCAGUCUUGAGAUUCUGUAAGUUGCUCGUGUACUUACUCUCACGCAAAUAGCUAAUGCGGCGAUAUGCGGGAGGAACCAAGCACUUCACAACUUCUACAACAAUAGUAAGAAUGAAUUCAGCCAUCUUCAGUCCUUUGUCCUUGUCUCUCUAUCUCUCUUUUUCUGAAUUUUUGAAAAACAAUUGACUACUUAGGAAGCACACUGAGUGAUUGAACACAAGUGACCACAACAAGAUGGAACAAAAUAAAAAGGAAAAAAAAUACAAAGAGUGGAAGGAGAAUAAAACAGAGACAGCGGCACAGCUGGACACAACUAGAUAGAGAACAGAGCAAAACCAAAUAACAAGACUUAAGAUUACAACAAACAGAGGCCAAGUAUUAUUGUUGAGAUCAGAAGAUGGAAAAUUCAAAAGAGUUGAUGGCAGAUGCUGAAUAACAAAACAACAAUGAACGCAAUAAGCAGAAGCAAAGUGUGUUUGAAUGCAAAGAAAGACUGAUGUUGAAAAUUGAUGUCAAUAGCGAAGGAAUAAUUGAACUUUCGCUGAAUUAUUGUUUGUGGCCUUCUUUUACUUUUUAUUUGUGGGUCAUGUCUUUUGGAACUAAUCAUCUUAGGUUAUGCCUUAUAGCUUUAAGGCCGGUAAACCGGUGUCCGUUGGAUUAGCAUAUAGAAAUCCAACGGUGGAUAUAUAUACUUGGAGAAUAAAAUUCAAGAGCUAAGGGAGUGCUGGGCUGCAGUUUCUUAAGGAGAUUUAUAUAUCCUCCUCAAAAAUAAAUGUUUUAAGGUAGAUAUUUAGACUAUUUCAUCAUAAAAUAAAUGUAAUUAGUUUUCAAUAAAUAUCUUAUAUAAAUAUUUAUUUAUUUUUUUAAUUACUAAUGACCUUUGAAUAUACAUAUAUACAUAUCCCUAGUUCAAAAAAUAAAUUGUGAUUAUUUGUUCAUGUAUGCGAUUACUUGUGAUGGGAAAUAAAAUAGAUAUGGUAUAUUUUGAAGUUAAAUUAAAAAAAAAAAAAACAGAGCUUUUACCAUUACUUGCCUUAUCAUCUUUUAAAUUAGAGUUAUUAUUCUUUUAUUUUUCAAGUUGCCAACUCAUCCGCAUUUUUUUUUUAUUGAAUUUGAAGAUCAAUGAUUAUAAAUGUGUGUAAAAAUUUUAAGUCAAAACUUUAAAUAAUCUUUAAGUUAUUGGGAAAUAAUAACUUAGUAUAACAAAUAUUAUAUCCUAUACUUUAUUGCUACAAAAUUACGAAACCUUAUAUUAUAUUAUGUUUCCAUAUUUCUCCUUUAUAGUGAAGACUCAUACUUCUUCUCUAUUAAAUGCUAAAGUAUUGGCUUAAAUUUUUUAACCAGCACAGUAGACCCUUAAGCUAUAUAUACUAUAAUGUCCCUCUUCUCUCAUAGAUUAAACCAAUCUGAUCUCGGAGUGAGUUGAUACCAUGACUUUGCAUAAUUCGUGAUCAAAGGAGUAUCAUUACUAACUAAUAUAGGCUCCAUCAAUAGGCAUGAUAAUAAUUUUUUUUAUAUACAAACACUGUUUUUCAAAAUAUUAUAUCUUAAGACUUAACUAAAUAUUUUGUAACUAUGUAGAUAUAGUUUGUUUGAUCUCUUUUAAAUAGUGGAGAUUACAAACAAACAUAUGCAAAUUAGUAGUGAUGUUGAGUUUAGAAGAUUGAAGUUAAGAAAAUUAAGGGUUUCUUGAUCUAGAGAAAUUUCAAAUGAGUGAAGUGUCCUUGAAAUCGGAAGACGAAAAUAAGGAAAGGGUAAGGGUGUAUUUUCAAAGUGAUUCUAUUACGAGAUUUUGAAGUAGGGGUGGGCAAGUCGGGUUUUGGUUCGGGUUGUUCAAGUUUCGAUUUGGAUUUCAACCCAAUCGGGUUUGAGAAUUGAAUCCAAUCGGGUUGAAAACGCCAACCCAAACUAAACCGAACCGAAUUUAAUUCAGCUUGGGUUCAUAAUUCGGAUUGGUAAUUCAGGUUAAAAUUUCGGUUCGGGUUAAUUUGGGUUAGAAUAAUUCCAUCUAAAAUUUUGGGUUAGUUCGGUUUAAAACAAAUUGAAACAAUUUAAUCCAAAAAUUAUACCAACAACCACUUAAAAUCCAAAAAUCUCAAUUCCAAACAUCCUUAACAACAAAUAUCAACUACAAACUAUCCUUGAUAACAUUUCAACAAUAACAAUAACAAUAAUAACAACAACAACAACAAUAAUAAUAAUAAUAACAACAACUAUGAAUCAGCAAUUCAGCAUAUUGCCAUAUUCUAAAUUUAAAAAAACACACAAAUUAUGUAAUUAAUUAAUUAACAAUCUCCAAUUUAAUUUAUAAUAACAACAAAAAUCCUCUCCAAUUUAAUUAAUAACAAUCUCGAAUUGUUCAAUUACCAGUCAACAACAACAAACCCACUCCAAAUAAUUGAACAAUUGUUAAUUAAUUAAUUAAAAAUAUCUAAUUUAAUUAAUAACAACACCCAAGAGCAAGUCAGCAAUAAACCCACUCAAAAAUCCAAAUAUCAGUAUAAAUUAAGUGUCAAACCUUGAUCGGUGGGAAGCUACAGCGUCGGCAAAUUGUGACCGUGUGGGGCUGAGUGAGACCGUCAACCGAGGGUGUGAGAAGGGAGGAGGGAGCAGGGAGGUAACGAGGUGUGUGUGAGUUUAUAUAUAUAUAUAUAUAUAUAAUUUUUAAAACCUAAAACUUAAAAAAAAAAUUUAACCCAAUCCAAACCGCCCACCUCAUAUUACUUCCGUUAAGAGAUGGAUCCCACACUCUUGAGCCUUUGUCGUCCCAGUCAACUAUAAAAACAAAUCAUUAUUGAGUGUGAAUAGACUUAUUGAUCACCCAAUUUUCAAACUUAUCAUCCUUAUUGUAUCUGCAUUCCCUUUUGAAAAUUUUUUAAAAAAGUACAAAUAAUGAAACAAAGUUUUGUUCCUUCAACAGUUGAUAGAGUUACGCGGCUUGGACUUGCAAGUGCUGUCGGCAUUUUCAAACUUGUAAGACCCUUCAACUUGCUUUCCAAGAUAGCUAUAAUUAAUAAUGACAACAGUCUCCCUCAUAGCGACUAGUGAGCAACUGAAAUUAACGGCAUCUUCUCUCGCAUUUUUAAAAAAAUUGAAUUAUAUAACCCACCAAAACUAUAAAGAAUUGUUAGUUUUUCUUCAUUAAAAUUAAUAUAUUGCUCCUCAUAUUGAAAAAUCAAAAUUCAGAAUAAGAAUGAUUGAUACUGUUUAUUUACUAAAAUGAAAAUAAAAUAUAUGAAGCCUACAUAUUUUUGAAAUUAAAAAACAAGAACUUGAUUUUCCUUGGGGAGUGUUGGAAAUCAAGUUCUUGUUAUUUAAACUCUCAAUUGUAUCUCACCGAAAUUUCAUAAUUCUACUUUUGUCUUCAAUUAAAAUAUUAUUAUAGUUAUUAUUCUUAUUUUUGUAGUUGUUGUUGUUGAUUAUGAUAAAUGGUCAGGCAAAUGAUUCAUUUACUUAUUUUUUUCCUUUUAAAUUUUUGUUAUUAAGAAGAUUUUUGGAUAUUUAGCGUGAAGGUCUCAACUGAUCGCUAAUUUCACAGCAACUUCCUUUUUUUUUUUUUCCCUCAAUUGUUUUGAAAAAAUAUCAAGACUCAUUCAGCAAAAUAUCCGAGGCCAAAGCGCCAAAAGAUGGGACAGCCACAUGCACUUCUAAUUACAAAAUCUAAAGUUAGGGUGUCCAUAACUUACAUUUAAUAUAAUUUAUAAUUAGGUAAAAUUCAUUCAUUGACCCAGUAAUUUUAUUAUCCUAUUACUUAUAUUUUUAUAUUAAAAAAUUAGUAAGUAGGAAAAUUCUUAAAAGAUAAUGAAGAAGGAAAAGAAAAAGAAAAAGUGUAAAUGAACUGUAUUCACAUAAGUUUCAAACAUGUGAUUCAAUCUGAAUUGGCUUUUUUCAAAAGUAAAUACAAAGGAAAAUAAAAAGAAAAAAGCAAUUAAACGAGACUAAAAUCUGUGGCCUGUGUCAUUCAUAUCUUUUGACAUUUCUUUUAUAGCGGUAUAAAGGGUAGAUAUUUUGAAGUGAAAAGCAAAGCCUUUACCAUUACUUGCCUUAUCAUCUUUUAAAUUAGAGUUAUUAUCCUUUUAUUUUUAAGUAGCCAAAUUAGAGUUAUCAUCCUUUUAUUUUUAAGUAGCCAACUCAUCCGCAUUAUCUAUUAUUGAAUCUAAAGAUAAAUGAUUAUAAAUUUCUCUGAAGAUUUUAAGUCCAAACUAUAAAUUAAAAUAAUCUUAUUGAUUAAGUUAUUGUAUAAUAAUAACCUUAGCAUGACAAAUAUUAAUUCUUCUCUAGUAAAUGCUAAAGUAUUGGCUUAAGUUUUUUAACCAGCACAGUAAAUCCUUAAAGCUAUAUAUGCUAUAAUGUCCCUCUUCCCUUACAAAUUAAACCAAUUUGAAUUUAGAGUGAGUGAGUACCAUGAGUUUGCAUCAUUUGAUAUCAAAGGAGCAUCAUUACUAACUAAUACAGGCUCGAUCGAAUUCAUCAUACGAAGCAUAUUAUCGGCUGUAGGUAUGGAAAUAAAUUUUGUAUCCACAAACACUAUUUUUCAAAAUAUUUAAGACUUAACUUAUCAUUUUUUAACCAUAUAUGCAUAGGUUGUUUGACCUAUUUUAAAUAAUGGAGAUUACAACAAAUGAACAGAUGUGGAUUAGUAGUGUUGUUGAGUUCAGAAGAUUGAAGUUAAGAAAAAGGUUUCUUGAUCCAGAGAAAAUUCAAAAGAGCGAAGUGUCUUCGAGAUCAGAAAACGAAAUAAGGAAAGGGUAAGGUUAUACUUUCAAAAUGAAUUUGUUGAGAGAUCUUUGAAGAUUAUUUUCAUUAACAAUUAGAUCCCACACUUGAGUCUUUGUCGUCUCAGUCAGUCAGUUAUAAAGACAAAUUAAUUUUGAGUAUGAAAGGACUUUCAAACUUGUGACCCUUCAAGCUUUCUAUGACAGCUAUAAUGAAUAAUUACAACAGUGCUACCUAAUAGUGAGCAACUUGUUUGAUGAAAUUAACAACUUCUUUUCUCUCAUGUAUUUUUAAAAAAUUGAAUUAUCAAAGCUUUUAUUUCAAAAUUAGUGCUAUAGUUCAUUAAUUUUGAAAAAUUUUCUUUUUUCUUUCCACACAACAGAUUGAUUUGCCCUCCAAAAACUGUAUUAGAUUGUUUAAUAUUGUAACUUCAAAAAACUUAUAAUAAAUUUUUAAAGAGAUAAAUAGGGAAUGUCAGUCUCCCAUCUACUCAAAAUUAAUAUAUAUCAUUAACUCUUGAUUAUUUUUAUAACAACUAAUAACUUUCUGGGCAGCAUAAUUUUACAGUAUCAUCCUUGUUUGUAAGUAUAUUUUUAUUCACAUUUAUUAUAAAUUAAUUAAGUCAUAUCAAUGAAAAUUGAAAUAGAAAUUGAAGUACUAAAAAAAAUGUUUUGGUGUGAAUAAAAAAUUGAAAAUAAAAAUAUUUUUAUUAUAUUUUUUAUUUUUAAAUGGUUUUCUUAUAAUAAAUAUAUAUUUUAUAUUCUCAAAUUGAAUUAUUGAGUAAAUGACUCAUUUACUCACUUUUUCUUUUAAUUUUGUUAUUAGGAGGAUUUUUAGAUAUAAUGAAAAUUGUAAGGUAGUAAGUAAUAUAAAAUAAUUUUAAUAGAGAAAAAUAAAAAAUCUGUAAUUUUAAAAUAUAAGGAGAAAAAUAAUUAAUUUCAAGAUAUUUUAGAAGAUAUUUCAAUAUGCGGUGGACUAUAAACUCGAGUCUUUGUCGUCACAGUCAACUAAAAGGACAAAAUAUUGAGUGCGAAGGGCUCAACUGAUUGCUAAUUUCACAGUAAUUGCGUUUUUUCUUUCUUUUUUUUAAUUAUUGGGAAAUAAUAACUUAGUAUAACAAAUAUUAGAUCCUAUACUUUAAUGCUGCAAAAUUAUGAAACCUUAUAUUAUAUUAUGUUUCCAUAUUUCUCCUUUAUAGUGAAGACUCACACACUUCUUCUGUAGUAAAUGCUAAAGUAUUGGCCUAAACUUUUUAACCAGCACAAUAAACCCUUAAGUUAUAUAUGCUAUAAUGUACCUCUUCCCUCACAGAUUAAACCAAUCUGAUCUCAGAGUGAGUUUGCAUCGAAGGAGUAUCCUUACUAACUAAUAUAGGCUCGAUCAAUAGGGAUGACAAUAAUUUUUUUAUCUACGAACAUUAUUUUUUCAAAAUAUUAUAUCUUUAGACUUAACUAAAUAUUUUUUUAAUCAUGUAUGUAUAGUUUGUUUGAUCUCUUUUAAAUAGUGGAGAUCACAACAAAGCAAAUGCUAAUUAGUAGUGAUGUUGAGUUCAGAAGAUUGAAGUAAUGAAAAUUAAGGGUUUCUUGAUCCAGAGAAAUUUCAAAAGAGUGAAGCGAAAAGUGAAUUUAUUGAGAGAUCUUUAAAGAUUUACUUCCAUUAAGGGUUGGAUGCCACACUUUUUGAGCCUUUGUCGUCCCAAUCAUUCAAUUAUAGGAUCCCUAAGCAUAUAACUUACAAUCCUUUCACAUAAAUAAUGAGUAGUGUGAAUCCAUACAACUUACAACCUUCUCACAUAAAUAAUGAGUAGUGUGAAUCCAUACAACUUACAACCUUCUCACAUAAAUAGUGAGUAAAUCUAAACUACUCACUAUUCAUGUAAAAAAAUUAUAAAUUACAUACAUGUAACUUAGCAUUAUUCUCCACUAUAAAGACAUAUUCUUAUUGAGGGUGAAUAGGCAUAUUGAUCACUAAAUUUUCAAACUUGUGAUCCUCAUUAAAUGUGAUUCCCCUUUGAAAAAGAAAAAAAAGUGCAAAUAAUGAAACAAAAUUAUGUUCCUUAGCAGCAAGUGGCGUCGGCAUUUUCAGACUUGUAAAAGGGAAUGAGAUCCUUUCCUGAACCCGGAUCUCAUUCCCUGUGAAACAAAAAAAGGUGCAAAUAAUGAAACAAAAUUCUGUUCCUUAGCAGCAAGUGGCGUCGGCAUUUUCAGACUUGUAAAAGGGAAUGAGAUCCUUUCCUGAACCCGGAUCUCAUUCCCUGUGAAACAAAAAAAGGUGCAAAUAAUGGAACAAAAUUUUGUUCCUUAACAGCAAGUGGUGUCGGCAUUUUCAGACUUGUAACAAGGGAAUGAGAUCCUCUCCUGAACCGGGAUCUCAUUCCCUGUGACAAGACCCUUGCCACCCUUCAACUCGCUUUCCAAGAUAGCUAUAUUAAUCGUGACAACAUUACUCUCAGUGAGCAAAAGUUAACAUCAUCUUCUCCCUAUUUUUUUAAAAAAUUGUAUUAUAUAGCCCACCAAAACUAUAAAGAGUCUUUUCUUAUUAAAAUUAAUAAAUUACUCUUUAUAUUAAAAAAUUAAAAUUCAAAAUGAAAAUGAUCUGAUGUUUAUUUAUUAAAAUAUAAAUAAAAUAUAUGAAGUUCAUAUUUUUUUAAAUUAAAAAAUAAGAACCUAAUUUCAUUCCUUAAAUUCCCAAAUUUACCUCACAAAAAUUCCAUAAACUUACUUUUGUCCUUAAUUAAAAUAUUAUUAUGUUAUUAUUAUGGUUAUUAUUCUUAUUUUUGUAAUAGUUGUUGUUGUUGAUGAUGAUAAUACAUAUAAUAAAAUUAAUAAUAAUAAAAAUAAUAACUAUAAUUUUAACAACAGCAAUAAUAAUCAUUAAUAUUAUUGUUGUUGUUGUUGUUGUUGUUGUUGUUCUUCUUCUUCUUCUUCUUCUUCUUCUUCUUCUUCUUCUUCUUCUUCUUCUUCUUCUUCUUAUUAUUAUUAUUAUUAUUAUUAUUAUUAUUACUAUCCUAUUAUAAUAAUAUUAUUAAAUAAUUAUUUUGAAUAAUAAUAAUCACAAUUAUUAUAACAAACGACAAAAAUCAACUAAGGUAAUUUUAAUAACUUGUAAGAAUUCAUUUUUAUUCAUGGAUAUGUGAUUAUUUGUUAAUGUAUGCAAUUACUUGUGAUGGUAAACAAAGUAUAUAUGGUAUAUUUUCAAGUUAAAAAAGAAAAACAAAACAAAGUUUUUACCAUUUCUUGCCUUAUCAUCUUUUAAAUUAGAGUUAUUAUUCUUUUUAUUUUUCAAGUUGCCAACUCAUCCGCAUUCUCUUUUAUUGAAUUUGAAGAUCGAUGAUCAUAAAUUUGUGUGAAAAUUUUAAGUAAAAAUUUUAAAUUAAAAUAAUCUUUUAAGUUAUUGGGAAAUAAUAACUUAGUAUAACAAAUAUUAUAUCCUAUACUUUAUUGCCACAAAACUACAAAACCAUAUAUUAUAUUAUGUUUUCAUAUUUCUCCUUUAUAGUGUGAAGACUCAUACUUCUUCUCUAGUAAAUGCUAAAGUAUUGGCUUAAACUUUUUAACCAGCACAGUAGACCCUUAAGUUAUAUAUGUUAUAAUGUCCCUCUUCGCUCACAGAUUAAACCAAUCAGUAGCCUUCUCUCAUAUAGAAAAACUUUUUGUAUAAGACAAAUUAUUAUGUUAUCGGAAAAAUUACAGUAGACGUAAGCUAUAUAUGUUAUAAUGUUCAGAAGAUUGAAGUUAAGAAAAUUAAGGAAAGGGUAAGGAUGUAUUUUCAAAGUGAAUUAUUAAGAGAUCUUUGAAGAUUACUUCCGUCAAGAGUUGGGUCCCACACUUUUACCUUUUGCUCGUUCCCGUGAAAGUCAGUUUAGAAUUUUUAUCUUAUUUCACAAAGCUAAUUUUUUAUCACAAGCAGGAGAGAAACGGCAUUUCUUAGCAGUAGUUCAUCACUGUAGUAGCGAGCGAGUGAGGAACAAAAUUGCCAACAAUUAUCAAAAAAUAAUUAUAUAAAAAAGAUCACAUGCUAUAAUUAAUCAUGACAAUUGACAACAUUACUCCCACCGAGCAAAAGUUAACAGCAUCUUCUCCCACAUUUUUUAAAAAAAAUUGUAUUAUAUAACCCACCAAAAGUAUAAAGCGUCUUUCCUUAUUAAAAUUAAUAAGUUACUCUUUAUAUUGAGAAAUUAAAAUUUAAAAUGAGAGUGAUUAAUGAUGUUUAUUUAUUAAAAAUAAAAUAAAAUUUAUGAAGUCUAUAUAUUUUUUAAAUUAAAAAAUAAUAACUUAAUUUCUUAUAGGGAGUGUUGGAAAUCAAGUUUUUAUUUCUUAAAUAUCCAAUUUUACUUCACAAAAAUUUUAUAAGUUCACUUUUAUCCUUAAUUAAAAUAUUAUUAUGGUUAUUAUUCUUAUUUUUGUAGUAGCUGCUGUUGUUAUUGUUGUUGUUGUUGUUGAUGAUGAUGAUAAUAGUUGAUAAUAAAAUUAAUAAUAAUAAUGAAAAUAAUAACUAUAAUUUUAACAGCUACAAUAAUAAUCAUUAAUGUUAUCGUUGUUCUUAUUAUUAUUAUUAAAAAAUAAUUAUUUUGAAUAAUAAUAAUCACAAUUAUUAUAACAAACAACGACAAUAAUCAACUAAUGUCAUUUUUCUAACUUAUAACAAUUCAUUUUUUAUUCCAAGACAAACUAACCAUAUCAAUAAUAAUACAGGUCGUUUCGAUUCUAAUUUUUACAGGUAAAGUAAAUAAUUUAUUCUGAUUCUCAUUUUUUAUUUUGAUUUUAUUCUAUUCCGAUUCCAUUUGAUUAUGAUUCCAGCCAAUUCUAAUUAUCGAUUAGAAAAUGCAUUGUUACUACUUUAACAAUAACUAAUGAUUCUCCUCACAAUUCUUAUAGGAUUAUCCUUAUUUUAAAAUAUUUUUUAUUCGUAUUUAUUAUUAAUUAAUUAAAUUAUAUCAAUGAAAAUCAAAUAAAAAUUUAACUAAUAAAAAUGAGAAAAUAUAUGUUUCGGUUUGAAUAAAAAAUUAUAAUAAAAUAUUUUUCUUACAUACUUUAAAUAUUUUUAUUAUAAUAAAUAUUUUUUUAUUCUCAAAAUAAAUUAUCAAGUAAACGAUUCAUUAACUCAUUUUUUUCCUUUAAAUUUUUGUUAUUAAGAAGAUUUUUGGGUAUUGACCGUGAAGGGCUCAACUGAUCGCUAAUUUUGCAGCAAUUACCUUUUCUUUUUCUUUUUUUUUAAUUGUUUUGAAAAAAUAUCCAGACUCAUUCUGCAAAGUACCUGAGACUAGAGCUGGCAAAAUUUGACACGACCCGAUUACCCGACACGAACACGACAUAAAUAAAUGGGUAUGGGUCGUCAAAUUUAACACGAUUAUUAAAUGGGUCGGGUCCGGGUCAACACGAUUUUUUUCCGUGUCGGGUUUGGGUUAAAAUUCUUGACCCAUUUACCCGAUCAAUGACCCGAUUAUAUUUUCUAUUUUAAAAUAAUUUAUAUAUUCUUAUAAUUAAAACUCAAAUAUUAGAGAUGAUUUUCUUUUUUUUUUUAUUUUUUAAAAGGGUGAAUAUAAACACAGUGUUUUAUUUAUAAAAUUUUACAUACAUUUAGAGCUUCAAUAGUGUAAAUGUGUAAAAAUUGAUAGACAUGUAUAUUUUAUAAUAUUGAUAUAUAAUAUUAUAUAUAUAUAUAUAUAUAUAUAUAUAUAUAUAUAUAUAUAUAUAUAUAUAUUAAAACUUCAAUAGUAUAAAUGUAUAAUAUAUUGGUAGAUAUAUAUAUUUUAUAAUAUUGAUAAAUUAUGUAUGUAUGUAUGUAUGUAUGUAUGUAUGUAUGUAUGUAUGUAUGUAUGUAUUUAUGUACAUACGUAUGUAUGAUAGUGUGUAAAUAUUUUAUGUAACUUUUGUUCAAUAUAUAGAUAUUAAACGGGUUAUUGGGUAACCCGAUUAUUUUUCCGUGUCGGGUUUGAGUCUCAAUAUUUUGACACGAUUAUUAAAUGGGUCGGGUUUGGGUCGAUCUAAAUUUGACACGACACGAAACUGACACGAUACGAACACGAUCCGAUGACCCGUUUUGCCAGCUCUACCUGAGACCAAAGCGCCGGCCAAAGCGCCGAAAGAUAGGACACCCACAUGUGCUUUUAUUUACAAAAUCUAAAGUUAGGGUGGGUGUCCAUAACUUAAAUUUAAUAGAAUUUAUAAUUAGGUAAAAUUCUUUGAUUGACCCAUUAACUUUUAUUAUUUUAUUAUUUAUUUUUAUAUUAAAAAAUUAGUAAUGUAGAAAAAUUCUUAAAAGUUAAUGGAGAAGGAAAAGAAAAAGAAAAAGUGUAAAUGAACUGUAUUCAUUUAAGUUUCAAACAUGUGGUUCAAUCUGAAUUCGUUUUUUUUAAAAGUAAAUACAAAAGAAAAUAUAAAGAAAAAAAAUUAAACGAGACAAAAAUCAGUGGCGUGGGUCAUUCAUAUCUUUUUCCAUUUUUUUUUAAUAGAGGUACAUAGCAUAGAGUCGAUAUUUUGAAGUGAAAAGCAGAACCUUUACUGUUGCUUCCCUUAUCAUCUUUUAAAAUUAGAGUUAUUAUUCUUUUAUUUUUAAGUGGCCAACGGAUGGUAGCCAACUCAUCCGUGUUCUCUAUUAUUGAAUUUAAAGAUCAAGGAUUUAUGUUAAUAAAUAUUUUGUUAACUAUCAAAGUUUUUAUUUCAAAAUUACUCCUAUAAUUCAUUAAAUUUUCAAUUUUUCCUUUUUCUAUUCACACAACAGAUUGAUUUGCCCUCCAAAAAAAUGUAUUAGAUUGUUUAAUAUUGUAACAUCAAGAAACUUAUAAUAAAUUUUUAAAGAGAUAAAUAGAGAAUGUCAGCAUCUACUCAAAAUUAAUAAAUAUACCACUAACUUCUUAUUAUUUUUAUAAUAACUAAUAACUUUUUUACCAGUAUAAUUUUAUAGUAUUAUUCUUAUUUGUAAGUAUAUUUUUUAUUCAUAUUUAUUAUAAAUUAAUUAAAUCAUAUCAAUAAAAAUUAAAAUAACACAAUAUGUUUUGGAGUGAAUAAAAGAUUGAAAAUAAAAAUAUUUUUCUUUUAUUUUUUGUUAUUUUAAAAUUUUUUUCUUAUAAUAAAUGUAUAUUUUAUAUUCUUAAGAUGAAUUUUGAGUAAAUGACUCAUUUACUCACUUUUUCUUUAAAUUUUUGUUAGUAGGAGGAUUUUUAGAUAUAAUGAAAAUUGUAAGGUAGUAAGUAAUAAUAUAAUAAUUUUAAUAAAGAAAAAUAAUUAAUUUCAAGACAUUUCAGAAGAUAUUUCAAUAUGCGGUGGACUACAUCCUUGAGUUGAGUCUUCAUCGUCUCAGUCAACUAAAAGGACAAAAUAUUGAGUCACAAAGGACUCAACUGAUUGUUAAUUUCACACCAAUUACCUUUUUUUUCUUUUUUUUUUCUUAAUCUAUAUAUUUAUAUAAAGUUAGUACUUGAGAAUGUGAUGUAUCAUCACCAUUUUUUUUUAUUUAAUAAAUAGAGAAAUUUUCUUUUAAAUUUGACUUUUCAUUUUCUCAUAAUUAAUUUGAUUGCUAUUGCACAAUAACAAUUAUGUAAAGAUUUUAAUGAGGCAUAUUAUUUGUAAUGAACAUUUAAGAGAGAGUGUUAUUUGUAAUGAACAUCUAAGGGAGAGUGUUAUGAAUUUAUUAAAAUAAAUAUAUAUUUUCAUAAUAUAUAUCUCUUAGUCUCCCCACUAUCUCCCAUUAGCAACCUUUAGCUUCCUUAUAACUCCCACUAUUUUUAUAAAUCCACCCACCUUCAUAAAAUAAUUACAAUAAGUUCACAUUAUUUUAUAGAAUUACAAAUUAAUAAUAAGUUUGAAUAAUUAAUUAAUUAAAUCAUUCUUAUAAUUUUUUUUCUUUCUUUGUCUUUCAACAAUCUUUAAUAAUUUAAGGUUGCUUUAAGAUAAGUUUAAUUUAAUUAAUUUACCCUUAUAAUAUAAAAUAACAAAAUUACCCUAAGAAAUAUAUAUUAUUGUAACUAAUUGUUUAGGCAUUUAGUUUUAUGUUUUAUAAUCUAAUAUGCUUUAUAUAAAAUUUAAUAAUUUUCAAUACUCCAAAUGUCCUAAUUACAUCUUGUUAGUUUAGUGAAAUAUUAAUAAUUAUACUAAAAAAGCAUUACUUAUACAUCAUUAAAAUAUAAAAAAAAUUAUUAAGUUAAAGUAAACUUUUAGAUAUUUUUGUUACUUUUACCUUAUAAGGUUAGAAUAAUUAUAUUAAUUUAUGUUAAAACAACCUUAUUGAUCAAAUAUAAUUAAAAAAAUAGUCUCAUAAAAAAAUUAAUGAAUAUGGAUUUAAUUGGUUAAAUUUUUAAAUUUCUUCUUAAUUUGAAUUUUUAAAAAAUAAUGUGUACUUGUAGUAAUGAUUUUUUAAAAUUGGGGUGGGUUAUUAUUGAUGACCUUUGAACAUACAUACAUAUUAUUAAUAUAUUUAUUAAUAUAUACGAUUACUUGUGAUGGUAAACGAGGUAGAUAUGGUAUAUUUUUAAGUUAAAAAAAAAAAACAAAACUUUUACCAUUUCCUGCCUUAUCAUCUUUUAAAUUAGACUUAUUAUUAUUUUAUUUUUCAAGUUGCAACUCAUCCUCAUUCUCUUUUAUUGAAUUUGACGAUCAAUGAUUAUAAAUUUGUGUGAAAAUUUUAAAUCAAAGUUUUAAAAUAAAAUAAUCUUUAAGUUAUUGAGAAAUAAUAACUUAAUAUAACAAAUAUUAUAUCUUGUACUUUAUUGCUACAAAAUUACGAAACCUUAUAUUAUAUUAUGUUUCCAUAUUUCUCCUUUAUAGUGAAAACCCAUACUUCUUCUCUAGUAAAUGCUAAAGUAUUGGGUUAAACUUUUUAACCAGCACAGUAGACCCUUAAGCUAUAUAUGUUAUAAUGUCCCUCUUCCCUCAGGAUUAAACCAAUCUGAUCUCAGAGUGAGUUUGCAUUAUUUGUCAUCAAAGGAGCAUCAUUACUAACUAAUAUAGACUCGAUCAAUAGGUAUGACAAUAAAUUUUCUGUCUACGAACACUAUUUUUUAAAAUAUUAUAUCUUUAGACUUAACUAAAUAUUUUUUAAUCAUAUAUGUAUAGUUUGUUUGAUCUCUUUUAAAUAGUGGAGAUCACAACAAAGCAAAUUCGAAUUAGUAGUGAUGUUGAGUUCAGAAGAUUGAAGUAAAGAAAACUAAGGGUUUCUUGAUCCAGAGAAAUUUCAAAAGAGUGAAGCGAAAAGUGAAUUUAUUGAGAGAUCUUUGAAGAUUUACUUCCGUUAAGAGUUGGAUGCCACACUUUUUGAGCCUUUGUCGUCCCAAUCAUUCAAUUAUAGGAUCCUUAAGUAUAUAACUUUCAAUCUUUUCACAUAAAUAAUGAGUAGUGUGAAUUCAUACAACUUAUAACUUUCUCACAUACAAUUUACAACAUUCUCACAUAAAUAGUGAGUAAAUCUAAACUACUCACUAUUCAUGUAAAAAAAUUAUAAAUUAUAUAUAACUUAGCAUUAUUCUCCACUAUAAAGACAUAUUCUUAUUAAGUGUGAACAGACAUAUUGAUCACUAAAUUUCCAAACUUGUGAUCCUCAUUAAAUGUGAUUCCCCUUUGAAAAAGAAAAAAAAGUGCAAAUAAUGAAACAAAAUUAUGUUCCUUAGCAGCAAGUGGCGUCGGCAUUUUCAGACUUGUAAAAGGGAAUGAGAUCCUUUCCUGAACCCGGAUCUCAUUCCCUGUGAAACAAAAAAAGGUGCAAAUAAUGAAACAAAAUUCUGUUCCUUAGCAGCAAGUGGCGUCGGCAUUUUCAGACUUGUAAAAGGGAAUGAGAUCCUUUCCUGAACCCGGAUCUCAUUCCCUGUGAAACAAAAAAAGGUGCAAAUAAUGGAACAAAAUUUUGUUCCUUAACAGCAAGUGGUGUCGGCAUUUUCAGACUUGUAACAAGGGAAUGAGAUCCUCUCCUGAACCGGGAUCUCAUUCCCUGUGACAAGACCCUUGCCACCCUUCAACUCGCUUUCCAAGAUAGCUAUAUUAAUCGUGACAACAUUACUCUCAGUGAGCAAAAGUUAACAGCAUCUUCUCCCUAUUUUUUUAAAAAAUUGUAUUAUAUAGCCCACCAAAACUAUAAAGAGUCUUUUCUUAUUAAAAUUAAUAAAUUACUCUUUAUAUUAAAAAAUUAAAAUUCAAAAUGAAAAUGAUCUGAUGUUUAUUUAUUAAAAUAUAAAUAAAAUAUAUGAAGUUCAUAUUUUUUUAAAUUAAAAAAUAAGAACCUAAUUUCAUUCCUUAAAUUCCCAAAUUUACCUCACAAAAAUUCCAUAAACUUACUUUUGUCCUUAAUUAAAAUAUUAUUAUGUUAUUAUUCUUAUUUUUGUAAUAGUUGUUGUUGUUGAUGAUGAUAAUACAUAUAAUAAAAUUAAUAAUAAUAAAAAUAAUAACUAUAAUUUUAACAACAGCAAUAAUAAUCAUUAAUAUUAUUGUUGUUGUUCUUGUUGUUGUUGUUGUUGUUCUUCUUCUUAUUAUUAUUAAUAUUAUCAUCCUAUUAUAUUAUUAUUAUUAAAUAAUUAUUUUGAAUAAUAAUAAUCACAAUUAUUAUAACAAACGACAAUAAUCAACUAAGGUAAUUUUAAUAACUUGUAACGAUUAAUUUUUAUUCAAAGAUAUGUGAUUAUUUGUUAAUGUAUGCAAUUACUUGUGAUGGUAAACAAAGUAUAUAUGGUAUAUUUUCAAGUUAAAAAAGAAAAACAAAACAGAGUUUUUACUAUUUCUUGCCUUAUCAUCUUUUAAAUUAGAGUUAUUAUUCUUUUUAUUUUUCAAGUUGCCAACUCAUCCGCAUGCUCUUUUAUUGAAUUUGAAGAUCGAUGAUGAUAAAUUUGUGUGAAAAUUUUAAGUCAAAGUUUUAAAUUAAAAUAAUCUUUAAAUUAUUGGAAAAUAAUAACUUAGUUGUAAUAAAUAUUAUAUUCUAUACUUUAUUGCUACAAAAUUACGAAACCAUAUAUUAUAUUAUGUUUUCAUAUUUCUCCUCUAUAGUGAAGACUCAUACUUCAACUUUUUAACUAGUACAGUAGACCUUUAAGCUAUAAAUGUUAUAAUGUCCCUCUUCGCUCACAGAUUAAAACAAUCUGUAGCCUUCUCUCAUAUAGAAAAACUUUUUGUAUAAGACAAAUUAUUAUGUUAUAGGAAAAAUUACAGCAGACGUAAGCCAUAUAUGUUAUAAUGUUCAGAAGAUUGAAGUUAAGAAAAUUAAGGAAAGUGUAAGGAUGUAUUUUCAAAGUGAAUUAUUAAGAGAUCUUUGAAGAUUACUUCCGUCAAGAGUUGGGUCCCACACUCUUAAGCUUUUUUCGUCUCAAUCAACUAACAAGACAAAUUAUUAUUGGGUGUGAACAGUCCGGCUUAUUGAUUGUUAAAAAAAUAGCAUUAUUUUGAGCGCACAUGUUGAGUAAGUCUUAUUUAACGAAAGUGAAAAAUAAGGUUCAAAUUUUAUUUUAUUGAUAUUUUAAUAAUAUUUUUUUUUAUUUUUUUAAAAUGGUGUUUAGGUAAAUAAGAAAUUAUUUAUUAAAAUUCAUUUUUAAAGUUAAAAAUUUAAAAAGAAAUGAGGUUUAUCCCACAUGAAAAAAAGAAGCUUAAGAAUUAGUAUUUAUAUAUAAACAUUUAACCAUUCAUAAAUAAGAAUUAUAGGAAUAGAGACUCUUUUCACACAUACGUGCGUAAGGGGUACAAAUUCAAGACGAAUUUAGUUGAACUCGUGUGCACCUGCAUAUCCUGAGAACGCAAAUGUCGGUGAUAAAUUUGUUUUAAAGAUUCUACUCUGUGUAGGCCUCGGUUCCAUUUUAUUUUUUCUGUUUCGGUUUUCAUCUCUCUUCGGUUUUGCUUUCUAUUAUUUCAUUUCAAAUUUCAGUAGUUAUCUUUCGUUGCUUAGCUACUGUUUAAUUUGUUACCUCACCGUUUGUUUUAUCUAACAUUGAUCACCAAAUUUUCAAACUCGUGAUCCUGAUUGAAUCUGCGUUCCCCUUUGCAAAAGUAAUAAAAAAAAGUGCAAAUAAUGAAGACUUUCUCUUUUCACAUUUUUUACGCGUUUCUCUUUUCUCUCCCCCACGUGAACACUUUUGCCUUUUGCUCGUUCACGUGAACGUCAUUUUAGAAUUUUUAUCUUUAUUAAUCAUGACAAUUGACAACAUUACUCCCACAUUUUUUUUAAAAAAAUUGGAUUAUAUAACCCACCAAAAGUAUAAAAAGUAUUUUCUUAUUAAAAUUAAUAAAUUACUCUUUAUAUUAAAAAAUUAAAAUUUAAAAUAAAGAAUGAUUGAUGAUGUUCAUUUAUUAAAAUAAAAAUAAAUUUUAUGAAGUCUAUAUAUUUUUAAAAUUAAAAAAUAAGAACUUAAUUUCGUAUGAACUGUAUUCACUACUUAGUAUUCUUAAAAGUUAACGGAGAAGAAAAAGAAAAAAAAAAGUGUAAAUGAACUGUAUUCACCUAAGUUUCAAACAUGUGGCUCAAUCUGAAUUCGCUUUUUUCAAAAGUAAAUACAAAAGAAAAUAUAAAGAAAAAAAAUUAAACGAGACAAAAAUCUGUGGCGUGGGUCAUUCAUAUCUUUUUCCAUUUCUUUUGUAGAGGUACAUAGGGUAGAUAUUUUGAAGUGAAAAGCAGAGCCUUUACUGUUGUUUGCCUUAUCAUCUUUUAAAAUUGGAGUUAUUAUUCUUUUAUUUUUAAGGAUGGUAGCCAACUCAUCCGUGUUCUCUAUUAUUGAAUUUAAAGAUCAAUGAUUUAUGUUAAUAAAUUUUUUGUUAACUAUCAAAGUUUUUAUUUCAAAAUUACUGCUAUAAUUCAUUAAUUUUUCAAUUUUUCCUUUUUCUAUUCACACAACAGAUUGAUUUGUCCUCCAAAAAAAUGUAAUAGGUCGUUUAAUAUUGUAACAUCAAGAAACUUAUAAUAAAUUUUUAAAGAGAUAAAUAGAGAAUGUCAGUCUCGCAUCUACUCAAAAUUAAUAAAUAUACCACUAACUUCUUAUUAUUUUUAUAAUAACUAAUAACUUUUUUAGCAUUAUAAUUUUAUAGUAUUAUCCUUGUUUGUAAGUACAUUUUUUAUUCAUAUUUUUUAUAAAUUAAUUAAAUCAUAUCAAUAAAAAUUAAAAUAACACAAUAAGUUUUGGAGUGAAUAAAAGAUUGAAAAUAAAAAUAUUUUUCUUAUAUUUUUUGUUAUUUUUAAAUGUUUUUCAUAUAAUAAAUGUACAUUUUAUAUUCUUAAGAUGAAUUUUGAGUAAAUGACUCAUUUACUCAUUUUUUUUCUUUAAAUUUUUGUUACUAGGAGGAUUUUUAGAUAUAAUGAAAAUUGUAAGGUAGUAAGUAAUAUAUAAUAAUUUUAAUAGAGAAAAAUAAAAAAUCUCUUAUUUUAAAAUAUAAGGAGAAAAAUAAUUAAUUUUAAAAAAUUUUAGAAGAUAUUUCAAUAUGCUGUGGAUCACACCCUCGAAUCUUUGUCGUCUUAGUCAAUUAAAAGGACAGAAUAUUGAGUGUGAAGACUCAACUGAUUGUUAAUUUCACAGCAAUUGUCUUUUUUUUAUUCUUUCUUUGUUUUUCCUAAUUAUUUUGAAAUAGUAGGUAGCAAUUGCUUACAUCAAAAUAUCUAAACUCACUCAGCAAAGUAUCCGAGGCCAAAAUGUCAAAACGUGGGACACCCAUACAUCUAAUUACAAAGUCUAAAGUUAAUGAAAAGAAAAAAAGAAAAAGUAUAAAUGAACGGUAAUCACCUCAUUUUCAAACAUCUAAUUCAACAUGAAUUUCUUUUUACGAAAAGUAAAUUUUCUCCCGGAUUGUCCUCAUUACAUUAAACGAAUGAUGACGACGCUCUGUCCGUUUCUGACUCUCUGCUUUGCUCUCUCACAUCACGAGACACCUCGUUUCUAACUGGGGUACCACCAUCAUAUUUAACUGUCGGGUCUUCCUACUAUGCACCUAGUGUAUGCAUGAUUCUUUGUGACAUGACAUAUAGCCAAUUAAAUUCUGACAUGCUUGCAAUAAAGACUGUUAAAGUGACCGGUUAUUCCGGUUGAUUUCACAAGAUCUUUUGUUUGUGUGUUUGUGUUCCAAGUUGUGUACUCUAUGUUACGACUCCUCUGAUUUUUUUUUUUUUAAGUCUGUUAUACAGAGAUAUUACUGACAUUACAUCAAACAUUACAAUUAAUAUUUACAAUCAUACUAUAUAACUGGGACCACCACCAUACAUUGACACACUGAAGUAUAUGCCCAGAUAUUUUAAACCCUCGAAUUAUACACAGAUAUUACUGACAUUACAUCAGAUAUUACAAUUAAUAUUUACAAUCAUACUAUAUAACUGGGACCACCACCAUACAUUGACACACUGAAGUAUAUGCCCAUAUAUUUUAAACCCUCGAAUUAUACACAGAUAUUACUGACAUUACAUCAGACAUUACAAUUAAUAUUUACAAUCAUACUAUAUAACUGGGACCACCACCAUAACAUUACAAUUAAUAUUUACAAUCAUACUAUAUAACUGGGACCACCACCAUACAUUGACACACUGAAGUAUAUGCCCAGAUAUUUUAAACCCUCGAAUUAUACACAGAUAUUACUGACAUUACAUCAGAUAUUACAAUUAAUAUUUACAAUCAUACUAUAUAACUGGGACCACCACCAUACAUUGACACACUGAAGUAUAUGCCCAUAUAUUUUAAACCCUCGAAUUAUACACAGAUAUUACUGACAUUACAUCAGACAUUACAAUUAAUAUUUACAAUCAUACUAUAUAACUGGGACCACCACCAUACAUUGACACACUGAAUAUCAGACAUUACAAUUAAUAUUUACAAUCAUACUAUAUAACUAGGACCACCACCAUACAUUGACACACUGAAGUAUAUGCCCAGAUAUUUUAAACUCUCUCUAAUAUUCGAGGGGUGCCUGCUCCACUCACAUUUCGUAAGGGAGAGACUGUCUCCAUUCAAUUAAUUAAUAAUUGAGGAAGAACUGAAACUAACCUCUAUAAUGCUCUUAUGGAGGCUCGAACCCUUGCACUCAACAUUAUAAGUACAAGGCUUCUCCCAUUGGACCAAAGGCCUAUUGGUAUGAGUUCUCUGAUUAAGUCUGAUAUUAUCUGUUGCUCAAUAAUGUUACAGGUUUUAUAAUAUGACUGGUACGAUCGCUGUCACAAAUUUAGAACGAAAAGUUUCCAAUAAAAUAAGUUAUUUAAUUAAUUAAAUAAGAAUAAAAUGAAUUUGUGAAAAAAAUUUAAAUUUAAUUUUGAAUUAUUUUGACCAAAAUUUAAGUUUUUUUUAAUUUGUUUAAGAAAAUGUGUUGUAAUUGUCUUGUUUUAAUUGGAAAAUCAAUGAAAAAAUUAUGUAACAGACAAAAAAAAAAAAAAAAAAAAGCAAAACGGUUUGUUUUGUAUGGAGGCCAUAGAUUCUAAUAUUUCCUUCACGAAAACUACAAAAAAAUUAUCAAAGGCAUCAAUUUCUACACUCUCACCGAGCAAUACUCUUAACCCAGAAGAAAGUGUAUAAACCAACCCCAAUCAGUCCAUCAAUGUCGUCAACCUCAUACAGCAUAAAAAAAAAUCUGUGUCCAUUAAACCGCCAUUUAAACCGUCUUUAUUGAACCAUUAGACUAUUCGUGUCAUCUUCCCAUCUCGUUGUAGUAUUUUACCUUUCAAAUUUAGUUAUCAAUUCUGGAAAAUGGGACCAAUCUGCAAGUCUUUAAAAUAGAAAGAAACUUUAAUUGGGCACUAUGUUCACGGUAGUGGACCCAGCAGCAUUAAUAUUUAGGGUGGAGCUAUUUAUAUUUUAAACAUUCUAAUUUUAAUAAGAAUAUAUAUUACAAAUGAUCACGACAUUGGGGACCAAUCACGUUGACAAGCAUUUUUUUUAUUUAUUAAUAAAGUGCUCUGAAAAGAGCUAAGGCAAUACUAAACGGGGGUGGUCCCGUUUUUAAUCUAACAUAGAGUCUUAAAAACCUUGUCAGUGGCAAAUGAUCACGACAAGAAAUCUGAAGGAGAAACAGCAGAGCUCAACAAAUCACUAAGAGAAAAUAAGACCAAUAACCAAGCAGAUAAAAGAAAAGCAAAAUAACCCAUCUCAAAAUCACCACAUGCACUAUUUAAGGGGUUUGUGAUAUGGGUUUAAAAAUAAUUUAACAAGUGCCACCUGUGAAUUGUCAGAGAUUGUAUCUUCAUACACAUGUCAAAUUUUCAAGUCCAACAAAUUGUUAUCUUUCUAAAGAGGCUAAUAUUAUUAUUAUCUAUGCAUAGCAUGCUAUAAACAAUUCAUAUUACUAGGGCCUUUGUUUUCUGUACACAACAUAUGGACAGAGGAACAAAUCCCUGAGCUAAAAUCAUCAUAUUCCAAAAUAUUCUAUUAAAUCAACACCACAAAACGCGAACGCUAAACAGAAUUGGAGCAAUUUACCAAAGCUAUUUGUCACGCAAAGCACUAGUACCUCAGAACCCAAUUUGCAAAAAAGCACCAAAAAUGAAAAAUAACAAAUGCCCAGAUGAAAAAUCAGGAAAAAAAAAUGCUCAAAUCCAAAUUACAACCCCAUAAGCUGAGUCGUUCUAUUCGAACUGAAUUAAAAAAAAUUAAUUAGGGAGAUUGACCUCAAACUUUGGAAACAGAAGCGACAUCGAUCUGUUUCUUGUCUGGAGUGUCCAUUUCUAUAAUCUACUUUGUCCGUUUUCAGUUGCUCUGCCACAAAGCUUCUUCCCUCUGAAGCUGAAGCUCACACACACUUGCAAAACGAAAGCAUUUUUUAUUGAUUGAGAGGCGGGAAGGCGGGAAAAUGAGAGAAAUUUGCAUUUGUUUUGUCUUGGUUUGGUCAUACCUGUGCGGGCCCCAGCUUGACAAGCGGUAUUAUUACUAUUUGUAUAAUUUACAUGACGCGUGUCACGCAAUGACGAUAAAAUGUAUAUAUUGUUAAUUUUUCACUUAACAUUGAAUGAUUGAAAUAUCAUAUAAUUUUUCCAAUUUUAUGGUUAUUUUCUCGCCCUUAUGCCACAUUCUUUUGAUCAAAUAAUACAGUAAAACUUUUCUAUAAUCAUAAUAUUAGAGCCAAAUUAACUUUGUUUCUGUAAAGAGGCUAUAGCUUAAUAAAGGUAAAAUUAUAAAAAUUAUUAUUUUGACUCAGUUAUCUUUAGUGCAAGUGAUAUAAAGUACAAAUAUAUGAUAAUUAAUUAAUGAACUAUGUCAAAUACAAUAUGCUGACAAUGAUAAAAAAGAUAGACAUAAUUUCAAGAAACUAAUACAUAUAUUUAUGUAGUGCUGGGAUUAUACAAAAUUAUCUUAAAAGUGUAAAGAGUAAAGUAUUAUUCUAAUUAAUUUAAAAAAAUUAUUUUUUCUUAAUCUUUAAUGCAACAUAGCUUUUUUUUUUUUUUUCUUAGCAACAAAGCAUUGUUCCACAUAAUUAUUAUUGGAUUCAAAUCAUGUCCUAGGCAUUUUUUCUUCUAGUCGUCUUAAACUUUUAAUGAUUUAUUGGCAUGCGUCAAUCAUUAAUGAAAUUAAAUAACUAAGACUUUGUUUUAAUUAACGUUUACAUAAAUAGACAUCAAAACUCACAUGUGAUUCUUAUCAAAUUUUUUCCUGCAAAUUCUUUUCCUCUCAACUAUUCAUAUUUUGACAUUAAUUUCCAGCAAAUUAUUAAAAAAAAGAAGAAGCGUAAAAUGGAGAAAAGUGAUUGACAACAAGGUUUGCAUCUUAAUUUCAAAAAUUUCCUUUCUUUGUUAUUUUUGUGGGUUCUACAAUUGUUGUUUUCACUCUCAGCUGCAGUUCAAUGAACUCUAUUAAUAACCAUGAAGCUUAAUGUAUCAAUUCCAGUACGAGAAGUCCUUCUACGCAUGUUACAACACUUUUUUGUCAUUAUAGGUUGCAAAUGUUCCGUAAUGUACUCAUUCAUAUAACGGAAACGCUAUUAUCAAUAAUGAAAGUUGACUAAGUUUGUAAAUUCUAUUUAACGAAAAAGUAACAUAAAUUUAGUUGAACAAGAGGUAAUUAAUAUGUAAUCUAUGAAACUAGGGUGUGACUAAGUUACAUAGUAAUGUAACUUACAUGAACACAAAAAUAAUUAGUUUUUAAACUACAAGUAAUUUUGGAACUGCUCUUAAAUUGAUAUAAGUUUUAUUAUUAUGUAACUUAGCAAGGUCAGGUAUUUUAAUAAUAGCACAUCACUAUUGUUUCAUGUGAAUGAUGCAAUUGGAUUAGCCAAUACAUACCGUCAUCCCCGGGAGAUGCUAUGGCAAUAGCUUACUCUAUCGUGCCAAUGUCAUUAGUAUUAAUCUGUUGAACCUAAGACCAUAUCUAAGCUGAUCUAGAUUCCCCAAGAUCGCACACCACACAGUGAUUAAUGAAUCAAGAACAAUAAACCAUCAAAGAAUCGCAAACUUACAUGUCGGGUUACAUGUAAUAAAUGUUUUAAUUAUUAGAUGAUUCAUAAUGUUAGACCAUUUUUUGUAUGUUUUGUAAUCUACGUUUGAUAAUUGAAUUAGCUGAUAAACACUUGAAUAAUAUUAUUUUAUUAACUAUGUCAUUGAUCCCCAGGAAAAAAAAAAAAAAACCCAAUUUGGGAUGUUAUACAUUACUUUUUCAUUACUUCCCAUUUUAGAUUAAUAUUUAUCACAUAUAUUCUUAGUAACUUGUAACCCUUUUUGCUAAGGGUGAAAUGUGUUUGUUACCCCUUCUAUUUCUGAGAUUGUCCUUACAAUAAGGAUGCCGGCCCCAAUGUCAAAAACUGCUAUCUCUAGGUGUAAAUUCCUUAUAAAAUUCUUUUUUAAUUGAAAUUACUUAAAUAAUUGAAGAUAAAUUAUUUUUUAUUUCAUUCAAAUAAAAAAAUCAAUUAAACACUUAAAUAAGCUAUCCUUUUAAUUUUUUUUUUUUACACCCAUCCAGUUUCAUAAUUUAUAUUUAUAAUUUAAAUUUUAAUGGAAAAUAUUUUUUUGAAAAAUUUUAAGAAUUAAGAAUUAUGGGGAUAAAAAUUAUGUAAUAAGACCAAAAUAAUUUAAAAUUUUAAAAUUUGCAUGUAUUAUAAACAAAAACUUGAAAGAAAUACUCUUUUCAGGGUGAGAUUUAAUCAGAAAAAGAUUAAUUUUCAUUUAUGGAUCAGUAUUUUAUAAAUUAAACAGAGGUAUUUUAAGAAAUAGAAUUCAAAAGGCAUGGGAACAAGGGCAUGGCAUUGGGUUUCCUUUUGUUUUGUAUGGAUUGGGAAAAAUACACGGACAGACAAAGGGAACAGUCAUUAUAAUGAUGUGGAACUUGUCGGAGAUUCCCUGCCCAUUUGUAGCUUAGACUCCUGGGGUUUUGUUCAUGUCUUUUCUGUAUCCCACUUUCUCAUGCAGCAGAUGUACAUAUGAUGAGAUGAAAACAACAGCAAAAAUUGCUGUCUCAUAAGAGAAAUAGUCAUACAUAGUUGGUUAGGCCUCCAGUCCAUUAACUUAAUAAUCAAUUUUAUGAAAAUUGAUUAUCUCAUUGGAAUUACAUAGAUAUUGGAAAACAUUACUCCAGCCCCACCAUCCCAACCAUUUACUUAGUUCAUCAGUAAAAGCUGGAUUUACCAUUUGUUCUUGAGAUUCAAAUUAAGGCAACAAGUUGCUCAUUCUAUAUUAUCUAUGUAAUCCUGUAAAAGUGAAGGGCGUUUAGAUGUGGAAAAACCUUACCCCUGCCGCAACACCUCAAACAGAUUGUGAUCAGACAAGACUUAGUUCAUCAUUAGUAGUAGUUGGAGCUUCCAUUUGUUCUAGAGAUUUAAAGGCAGCAAGCUGCUUCCUCAGUGCUACUAAUUCUUCCCCGGCAUUGCAUAUGUAGCCUGAGGCUUGUCUACCAG
rnacentral:lncRNA from 1 species